UUGAAUCAUCGACGGUGAGAGGCGGUAACCGUAAUUUUCCGACGAAGAAGUAAUGGUUGAAACUGAUGUCGGUUAAACAACUUGUUUCGCUUGCUUCUAACCAUAUCCCGGCGUUUUUAAGCUCUUUUACGUUACGAAACGGGUGUGAAUGGUGAGGUUUUAUUCUUGUAUGGUUUCUGCGAUUUGUGAAGGAUAUGCAAAACCUAGAAGGCCAUGGUUUUUCUUUUUUGAAAAGGAGUCUUACUCGUAGUAGAUGCAAUAAGUGAAUUGGCUCUUUAUUUUUUUCUUGCAGCUGCUGCCACCAUUCACUAGAGCAAAAUCUGUGUUAGUCGGGAGCAAGCUAAAAUUAAGGUUUUCAAUGGUUGAAUCAAAUCAUUAUUAUUUAAUAAAAAAUUAUUUAAAUUAUUAAAUUACAUUUUAAUCCUUUUAAAAAUUAUUAAAUUAUAAAUUUGUAUACAAUAAAAUUAUAUUUUGACUCCUCAAAAUGAAUAAAAAAUUGUUUAAACACUUUUAAAAAAUGAUGACAUCAUAAAUUAAUGCAAAAAAAAAAUCUAAGAAUUAAACCAAACUUGUCUAUCGGCCUAAUUAAACAGAGAAUCAAGCAAGGUACUAAUCCAGAAUAAUAAAUUAAAUCCAUUGAAUCUAAUCAUCAAAUCGAUUUUUUUUAUAUUUUUAAUAUAUCUUUAAUAUUUUUAAAAUUUUAUAUAAUUGAAUCGAAUAAACUAAUCAACCAAAAAUGAGACUCUAAUGGAUUGUAUCACCUAUAUAUGUAGUUGUAAAAAUCCUUUUAACAUUUAUAAACUCCACAAAUUGAUUCAUUUAUAAAUUCCUUAAAUUACCUGUCCUGCUGAUGUGAUUGUGGGUCUUUAACAGUGCCGUUGAUGAACCUUAUGAUUGCCUCCAUGAAUUUUGUGCCAUCCUUCGAUCUUGUAAGCAAUUCAAGAACACGAAAAGGUAAUUGGUUUUCCAACAAGAACAGAUCCGAGUACACAAAUGUUAGCAAUUCGUUUUUAAUAGAAAAUUCGUUCGACGUACGACAACGAUCUUGGCCGUAAAGCAUAUAAACUGCUUGUAAAAUUGCGCAGCCGUCAACGAAGAACAUCCAAGCCAGUUUCUCGUUAUCGUUGCUAUAGUUCUCUAAUCCCUUUGGAUCAUAGCAUUUCUUUAAGCCAUCGAUCUCUGUCUUCAUGUUGUUGUACAAGGUAUCCUUAUCGACGCCAAUUUUUUUAACGAAAAGUGCUGCUAAUUUGAGCUUGAGCUUCUCGGAUUUAUGGAGGGUGGCAUCAUCGUGGUAGAAUGGGCCGAUUGAGAUCACUUUCGGCUUGAAAUACUUACUGAAAUCUUCGUGACGACCAAGGGUUGAUGGGACUCUUUGUAUCAAUGGUUUGGCACCGAGGUCGAUUUCGUCGCCGUCGAAAGCUUCGUCUAAUGACCGGAGAUUCACUACUUCGCCAACGCUGAGAGGGACGUCCAUAUCAAUGCUCACGGAAUCGUUGUUGUCGGUGAUUGUUUGAUCAGUGGAAACUGCUCCGACGGCGCCGCCUCCUUCCUCCGUGGAAGACAUUUUCAGGCUGAGCGGUUGGAAGUAAUAAAGAAGGUGAUUUUGUAAACUGCUUUUGGCUGAGUGAGUGAUGUUGGAGAAAAGGUGGCAAAGUGGAUAAGAUGAUGACAAAUGUUUUAUAGCUUACAUGAUAAACAUAUAUGGGAAAUACUUAAGGUGUAAUUCAAAUUUACCCUUAGUGUUUAUAUUUUUACUAUAAUUUUAAUUUUUUAAUUAAAUUUAUUUCUCUUUUGAAAGAGUCAAUGAUAAAAAAAGAAAAGAAAAGUUAAAUUAAUGUUUUUUAACAAAAAUAGUAACAAAUAUUAAAAUUGUGAAUAACAUUAUAGAACUUAAAUACUCAACGCAACUCAAGAAACUAAUGGUGGGUCUGGAUGGGCAGUGCGGUGCGGUGCGUUUAGCCUACUUUUUGUCUCAUACUACAGUGUUGCUACAGUAUCUAAUCUCACCGCCACCACUGUUUUUACACUAACCACAGGUAAACGCACCGUCCAUCCAAACUCACCCUAAGACCCUAUCAAAGGGAGAAUUUUAUAUCUACAACACUUCCUAAAUUUCAUUAGCUUAAUAAUAGCUAUUCAAUUUUUUUUUUCAUUUUUUUACUUAAAUUAUUUUUACUUACUUUAUAUUAGAUAAAUUAUUCCAAAUAUUUAAUAUUUUACAUAUAAUAAUUGCAUUUGUUAUUCUACCUAACUCAUGAAAAAUCUCAAUUUUGCAACAUCACAUGCCAACCAACCAAUUUAUUAUUCACAUUCCAACUUUCUAAAUGCAUCAAAUAUUUCAUAUUCAUGUACUAACAAAGAUCAUGCCAAGAACCCACAUGCAAAGUCAUUGUAUAGUACCACAUUUAACUCAAUCGGACUUUUACACAACUAAAGAUUACUCCAAACGUUUAUAUGCAUGUCACAAUCCUUCACUCAAAAUGAUAAAAAAAAAACUAUUAAAUUGACGAUAAAAUAGUUUAAGCUUCGACCGAUCCAACCGACGUGUUCUAGCAUAUAAUAUGUUUAGUAAGCUCAUAUGGAAACUAAAACUUACCUAGAUCAAUUGAACAUAAAAAAUUACUCAAUAAGCUAUCGAAUUAAUUUUUCCUUAGCACUUAUAUAUAUAUAAUACAUGUAACAACAUUUCAAGUCAAAAGUGUUAGAUACAAUGUUGAAUCAUAAUCCUGUCAACAUUUAAAACAUAAUCACAUAGCAAUCUAUAUACCAAAUUUCAUCAAUACCAGUUCAUUUUCAAUUCAAGAUUUAAUUCCAUUUCCAACCAUUUAAUCAUCCUCUGAUGGAACUACAGUAAAAAAGACCUAGGUACAUGGGAAUAUUUUGCUGACACUGUAACGAACUUACUCACAAAAGUUGACUUUAUAUUGGAAUUGUUCACACAAGUUAACUUUGUAAUUUAUAUAAUGUAAAAUUUAAGAUUUUUAUAUUAUGUAAAUCAAAGCUUAAUAUUGCAUAACUAAUUAGUUUUGAGUUUUCAAAAUAAUAUGGCUUUAUAAAGAUAUAGAAUUCUUGAUAUAAGUCUUAACAAGGGAAAAUUUAAGGAUAGGAAAAUUGUGGUGGAAAGGGGGUCAAUUUCUCCUAAACAGGUGGAGAGCUGGAGAAGGGUAAGAGAAGGAAGAUGGUUGAUGUGAAGGCUAAGAGUAAUUGUUAAAGGUUGCUAACAGGGAGGAUCCCUUUCUCAUGAAGAUGAUUUUUAAACACCGUGUUAAUUGUUUAUGGGCCAUCAUGUUUGACGAUAAUUUUUAAAUACUGUGUUAAUUGUAUAUAGCACAUCAUGUUUGACAAUAAAUUUUAAAGACUUUUAAACGUCGCAUUAAUUGUUUAUGGCCCAUUGCCCAUGUUGCUUUUAUUAAAUUUUGGGUAAACUAUAAGUUAAUCACUUAAUUUUUAUAAAAUUUCAUUUUGGUAAAAGAAAAUCUCAGGAUAAAACAAAAAUUAGGAUAAAUGUAAUGUUGAAAUGAAUAUAGUGGGAAUCUUUAAUGUUUAUGGCCAAACCCCACCUCUCCUAUCCUAUACUUCAUCUAUCAUAAUGAUUCUUGGCUUCUUCUACAAUUGCCUUCACAAAAUGAAGCUGACAUUUGAGGUUGUCCUUCAUUUACUUUUGUUUUCUUCCUAUGAUAUAAAUGCAAGUAGAAUAUAAAUUAUACAUUUGUAAUUCCUCAAUUAUUUGGAUUAAAUUGAAAAACAAUCUCAAUUAUUUGGAUUAGAUUGAAAAAUAAUUGACACUUGAUUUGAUUGUGAAAGAAGUUUUAGUUUAAUGAAAUGAAUGAGUUAAAUUUUAAAUUUAUAAUAUUUAACUUGAGUGUGAAUGAAUUUUUGACUUAAUUGAAAAUUGAAAAUUUUAUAAAUUUUGUUUAAAUUUAUUUUGAUUUAAUUCUCAUAUUGUAUAUUCUUAAUUAAAUUCGGAAUAUAUCAAUUUAGUCAUACAUUGUAACGAUGGAUUCGAAUUAUAGUUAAUUAUAUAUUGAAACUAAAAAUCUUAGAUUUUUAUCAACAUUUGCCGCCUCAUUUAUGGUGAAUGGUAUAUUUCCCAUUUGGUCCCCCUUUCUUUUUAUUAAUCUAUAAUUCUACUUCUACCCCCAUUCAAUUUAGCCCUUUUUCCUAAUUUCUCUUAAUUAAGCUAAAUUCACUUAAUUAAAGCCUAAUUAAACACACAACUAGCCUCACAAAUAUUCUUAAUAAAUACUUACGAACUCGGUUCACUAAGACGGAGGCCCUAUAACUCACUUUUCUAGUGCCCGUGAAUUUUGGAUCAUUACACCUUCUUCCGUGGACGACAUUUUUAGGCUGAGCGGUUCGAAGUAAUUAACAAGGUGAUUUUGUAAACUGUUUUUGGCUGAGUGAGUGAUGUUGGUGAAAAGGUGGCAAAAUGGCUACAAUGUUUCUAUAGCUUAUAAAAUGAACAUACGGAAAAUCUUUAAUUAAGAUUUAAAUGUAUAAAAGUAUAAAUUAUAAUAGUAAAAUUGUACUUUAAUCUUAUAAAUCGCAAUACUUUAAUUUAGUUAUUUAAAAAAUUAGAAAUAUAUUAGUUAAUAUAAUGAUAAAAUUACGUUUUAACUUUAUCAAAAUUUAUAACUUAAUUUCAAUCCAAAUUCUUACUUCACCCUUAUUUCUGCACUAAUAAAAGUUAUAAUCUGUGUUAAAUAUCGGAUUAGUAUAUGGAUGAUAUUAAAAAUAUAUAUAAAAAUAUAAAAUCUCUAAAAGCUUAAUCAACACACAUUCAGGUGUACGCUUUUAUUAAACUUUGAUUUUUUUAGUACGAGAUUAUCUGGAUUCUUUAAAAUAAUGUUAUGGAUAAGUUUUUGUUUAAUGUAUUGAUUGGUUUUUUUUUUCCUUUUAGAUUUGAUGAAUGAUAGAUUUUUGUUUGUGAAGUUUAUCUAUGAAUAUUUAUAUAAUUAUUAAUAAUUUUAUAUUUAAAAUUUAUUUAAUAUUUUAAAAUUUUAUCGAUAAUUUUGAAAGGAUAUAUAAAAACAAAUCGAUAUUGAUAUGUAUCAAUUUCUGUAGAAAAACGGUGCGUCCAUCAGUGCAAUACUAACUACCUUGGAUAAGAAAACAUUUAAUCCUUAAAUUUGGCAACUUUUCUCAACUUAGUCAUUAAACUUUUUUUUUAUCUACACUAGUCUUCUAACUUGACAACUUUUCUAAAUUUUGAUGCAUGUGAUGACAUCGCAUUCUGAUUUUGUAUCAUAGGGGUGUUCGAAUUUCGAUUAAAAUUGAAUUAACUGACCGAACCAAUCUAAUUCAGUUAAUCAGUCAGUUAAUCAAUCUAGUUCUAUCAGAGGUCGGUUAAAAGUUUUUUGGAAUUUCGGUUAACGGUUAAUUCGAUUCGAAAUUAGGUAAUUAACUGAAUUACCCAAACUUAAUAAAUUAGACUUGUAGGCUAGGAAGCACAGACACGGCUCAUCCCUCCUCGUACCGGUAUCGUACGUGUGUCCGACACAGACACUCGACGGACAUGCCUAGAUACGUAUGGAACAAGCUGGAAUAUGCCAAAAAUUUUUUUUUUUAUUGCCAUAUCUUGCUGUAUCCGUGUCCUUAUUUUCUAAAAAUUACCAUGUUGCUGUGUCUGUAUCAUGUCGUACCCGUAUUGCGUGUCUGUAUCCAUGCUCCAUAGCUUGUAGGUAAGGGCCGAACAAAGAAUCCAGUAAGGCAGUAGUCUAGAAUAAGGAGUUAGACCAAUUGAAUCGAGUUAAUGAAUUGAUUUUCUUUAUAUUUUUAAUAUAUCUUUAAUAUUUUUAAAAUUUUAUAUGAUUUAACCGAGUGGUUAAUCAAUAAAAAUUGAGAGUCUAAUAGAUUUAAAAAAAAAAACCUUUUUAACAUAUAUAAACUCCAAAAAAAUAUUCUUUUUUAAAUUCCUUAAAUUACCUGUCCUGCUGAUGUGAUUCUGGCUUUUUAACAGUAUUGUUGGUGAACCCUACGGUUGCCUCCAUGAACUUUUUGUCAUCGUUCGAUCUUGUAAGCAAUUCAAGAACACGAAAAGGUAAUUGGUUUUCCAACAAGAACAGAUCCGAGUACUCAAAUGUCAGCAGUUCGUUUUUAAUAGACAAUUCGUUCGACAUAUGCUCAUAAUCUUGGCCAUCAACAUCAUCAUUACCGUAACGAUAUAAACUGCUUGUAAAAUUGUGCAGCCGUCAACGAGGAACAUCCAAGCCAGAUUCUCGUUAUCGUUGGUAUACUUAUCUAAUUCCUUUGGAUCAUAGCAUUUCUUCAAGUCAUCGAUCUCUGUCUUAAUGUUGUUGUACAAGGUUCCCCUAUCGACGCCAAUGUUUUUGACGAAAAGUGUUGUUAAUUUGCACUUGAGCUUCUUGGAUUCAUGGAGGGUGGGAUCAGCGUGGUGAGUGGACCGAUUGAGAUCACUUUCGGCUUGAAAUACUUCCUGAAAUCUUCGUGACGGCCAAGGGUUGAUGGGAGUCUUCGUAUCAAUGGUUUGGCUUUGGGGUCGAGUUGUUUGCCGUCGAAAGCUUCGUCUAAUGACCGGAGAUUCUCUAAUUCGCCAUUGCUGAGAGUGAGCUCCGUACCCGGCAUUGGAAUGAUCGUCUCUUGGGGAUUGUUGGUGGUGGUGUUUUUGGUGAUUGUUUGAUCAGUGGAAACUGCUCCGCCGGGAGCUCCGACGGCGCGGCCUCCUUUCUCCGUGGACGACAUUUUCAGGCUGAGCGGUUCGAAAAAAGGUGAUUUGGGAAACUGUUUUUGGCUGAAUGAGUGAUGUUGGAAAAAAGGUGGCAAAAUGGCUACGAUGACGACAAGUGUUUCUAUAGCUUAUAUAAUAAACGUAUGGAAAAUAUUUUGGUGUAAUAUUAAAUUUAACCCUUAAUAUUUAUAUUUUUUUAAUUUGAUUCUUAUUCUUUUUAAUUAAAUUUAAUUCUCUACCUUUUGAAAGAGCCAAAUUUGAUUACCAAUCUUUUAGAAAAGAGUUGAAUCAAUAUUUUUUAAUGAAAACAGUGAUUAAAAUAUUAAAUUUGUAAACAUGACAACUCAUAUGGUAAUCCAUGUGUACAUAUUUUUUAUUUUUUAUUUUUAAAUAAUUUGUUGACGUGUGACAUAUAAGAAAAGCAGUGCUAUGUUAGCACGAAGUGCACAUGGAUUGCCACACGAGUUGUAACACCAACACCGUUAAAAAUUUAAUAUUUUAGUUAAUAUUUUUGUUAAAGAAAAACAAUUUAACUCUUUUUUGAAAGGUUAAUGACUAAAUUUAGCUCAAAUAAUAAUAAUAAAAGAACAGAGGCCAAUUUGACAGAAAAAUGUAAAUAUCGAGGACUAAAGGCCAAUUUGAUAGAAAAAUGUAAAUAUCGAGGACUAAAUUUAUCAUUAUGUCAUUCUUUUUAAGGUUAACUUAUAUGAAUACAAUAUAAGUUCAAGUACAAAUAUAUGUAUGGAUUAAUCUAGAAAGAACUAGACAAAAUCCACACAUGAUAUACGCAUAUGAUGAGAGUAAAACUCACACAUCACAAUUAAGAAUAAUAUUAUAAAACCUAAAUACUCAGAGACUUAAAACCUUCGCAUUAACCAAAAAGUGAAGACCCCAUCAUAUGGAGAAUUUUAUAUCUACAUACGACAAUAUUUCUCGGAUUUCAUACGCUUAAUACUAGCUCUUCAAAUAUAUUCAUUUUUCAUUUUAUUACUUAAAAGUUAUUUUGAUUUACUUUAUAUUGAUUUCAAUCAUAUUGAUCCGUAGAUAUUGUUUCAAUAAGAAAUCGAAUUUUUUUUUUUUAAAUGAGAUGAUUUUGUUGUGGGUUUUUUAAAAUAGUGUUACGGAUAACUUUUUUGUUUAAUGUUUUGGUUGGCUUUUUUUUUUCUUUUUUUCGAAUUUUUGAAUGAUGAAUUUUGCAUGUAAAGAUUAUUGAUGAAUAUUUAUAUUUAUUUAAUUUCAUUCAUUUAAUGUUUUUAAAUCUUUUUUAUAUAUUAAAUAUUUUAGAAAUUUAUCGAUAAUUUCGAAAAGAUAUACAAAAACAGGCCAGUACUAAUAUGUAUCCGUUUUUGUAAAAAAAAUGUGCGUCCAUUAGUGUAGUACUAACUACCUUAGAUAAAAAACUGUUUAGUCCUUAAAUUUGGUAACUUUCCUCAACUUAGCACUUAAGCUUUUAUUUUAUCUACAUUAGUCUUCUAACUUUGACAGCUUUUCUCAAUUUCGAUGCAUGUGAUGACACAACACUAUGAUAUUGAGAUGCUAUCAUCUAAAAAUUAUAUUUUUAAUAAAAAUUAGGUGUUAACAUGGGAGAAAUAUUAUUAUAAUAACCAAAAAUGAGAAAAGUUGUCAAUUUUCAUGAUUGAUGUGGACAGUGGUGAAGAUAAGGGGCUGGUAGGGGCAGAAAUUUUUUUUUCAUUUACGUCCUUUUAUAAUUUAUAAAAUUUUAAAUUAUUAGUGGUAAAAUUAUAUUUUGUCACCCAAAAAUAAAAAAAAAUUAAUUUAAUCCUUUAAAAUGAUAAAGUUAUAGACUAUUAAAAUGGUAAAAUUACAUUUUUAUUAUCAUAAAAAUAUACAACUUAAUUCCGGCCCCUCCCAAAAAAAAUUUUGGCUUCGCCCCUGAAUGUGGACCAAAAAAGAAAGUCUAGAGACCAAAUUGAAAAAUUUUGUCAAAUUUAAGGAUUAAAUGUUGUCUUAUUAUUUUAUUUAACAAAAAGUGUGCUAUAUACACCAAAGUCUCGUAAUUGAAUAAUAAAAUUUUGAUGUUUUUAAGUAAAUCUUGAAUUUAAAUCUUAUGAAUAAAGAAAAUAAUACUAAAUAAAUUUUACUAUCUACUUACGAAUUCAACUCAAUUUCAAAUUUAACUACCAAAUAUCAAAGCUCUUAUAAAAAAAAAAAGGUAUUGUAAACUUUGUUGUAGUGUAUUUUAUUUUGAUCCAAAAUAGUGAAAAGGAAAUGCAUCCUAAAUUUAUUCAAACCAAAUUAUUAACUUUAAGUGUAAAUUGGGUAAGUGUAACAUAAUUGUUCUCUUUUUUUUUUUUAAUUUAGUCCUUUUCCUAAAUACAACAUAUAUUUUAUAAUAGAUAAUUGAAUUAAUUAAACCAUCAGUUCAUCGCUCAGUUCAACCUAAUGACGGAACGUAAGAGGAGAUUCCCUUCAAAAUUUUAGAAAAUUAUCACUAAAUUCUUCAAAAUAAUUUACAUUUUUACUUUUUACUUAGGACUCCUAAUUUUUUAAAAAUCCUAAUUAAGCCUCGCAAAAAGUGUUGAAAUUUUCAAAAAUUUCAAAACUUCUCGUUAAUUUUUUUUAAAAAUUUUGAUUAAGCCUCUUAAAUUUUAUUUUUUUUAAAAAAUCUCAUUAAACACUAAAAAUUAAUUUAAAUAGAUUGAAUCGAAAAUCCAGAAUUACAAAAUUCUCAUAAAUAACCAGAGUUUACAAUGAGAAUAGUAAACAACAAUUACUUUGGUUGAUGUAUGGUAUAAUAAGUCUGCAAAGCAGCAAUAAAAAGCCAGCAAUGGCACCCACAAAUGCGAAAAACGUCCAACGAGUCCUAAAAUAAGCAUGAUAAGCUUGAGCUAGAUAUUGAAUCCACAUAUUCUUACAAUGAUUAUGUAUUUUCUGUUUAACAUAACUGUAACUAGGAACCAAAUCAGUGUUCAUAUUCUUGAUAAGCUUAGCCACUUCUUCAUCACUCCUCAAUCUAUUGUAUAGUAUACCGGCGUCUCUCAGUUCCUUAACAUCUUCGACUUCAUCGAUCAAUGAAUCAAGGACACCCAAAUAUGAAGUGACGGUGAAAUCGUUUUUGAAAUCCAGACACAUUUCGUAAGCUAUUAAGUUCAUGGUUGAAUCAUCGACGGUGAUCGGCGGAAACCAUAAUUUCCCGACAAAGAACACAUGGUUGAAAUUUAUGUCGGUUAAACAACUUGCUUCGCUUGCUUUUAACCAUAUCCCGGCCUUUUUAAGCUCUUUUACGUUACGAAAGGUGUGUGAAUGGUGCAGUUUUGUUCUUGUUUGGCUGCUGCGAUUUAACGUGCACAUGAAACGAGUGCAAAACCUAUAAUGCCGCCAUGGUUUUUCUUUUUUUCCUUUUUUGAAAAGAAGUCUUUCUCGUAGUAGAUUCAAUAGGUGAAUUCGCUGCAGCCUCCAUUCACUAGAGUAAAAACUGUGUUAGUCGGAAGCCAAGCUACAAUUUCUUUUCUUUAUUUUAUUUUAUUUGGAAUUGUAAAUUUUUAUCAAAACUAAAAUUAAGGUUUUUAAAAUGGAUAGUAAAACCAGUCAAAACAUCUAUUUAUAAGUUUAAUUUAUCCGAUCAAUUCAUCCAAUUUGAUUAAAUAAAUUAUUUCAAAUUUCAAUUCGAUUGUCCGGCUUAAUUAAUUUAUUUUCCCGAUUCAACCUGUUCAUAUAGGUUCCCAAAUCAAUUAGUCUAAUAACUUUCUUUGGACUGAUACCUCAAUUAAAUUCCAAUCCAAUCCGAUUCAAACAACUUUAGCUAAAAUACAAUUUUUAUUAUUGUAUUAAUGCAAAAAUUUUACCAUUUUUAAAGAUAUAAUUUUUCCUUUUUGAAAAGGUGGAUUUGAACUAAUAAUUUGUUGGCUUAAGCGUCUAAAAUCCCUCGUUUGAAAAAGCAAUUAAACCUUCUUCUUCUUUUUUCAUUCAUUUGGGUGCUUGAACUUUUAAAAUACAUCAAAAAGGUCCUUAAACCUUUUUUUAAAUAAAAAAAAGCAAUUAAGCCUCUACUUUUUUUUGCACACAAUUGGGUACUUUGACUUUCAAAAUGCAUCAAAAAGACCCUCAAAUUUUUUCAAAAAAAAAAAGUUAAGCCCCUGCUUUUUAUUAAAAAUUAGAAAAAAUUUAUAAAAAGUUAAAAUUAAUAAAAGCUAUAAAUCUUGUCGAAACCGAUUUUUUGAAAAAAACAAAAUUUUUAGGUUGUCGACUUAAAAAAAAGAAAAUUGGGAGUCGCCACCAAUCUUUUAUUGAGGUGUGAUUGGAUCACCUAAAACGACUUUGGUUUACGAAUUUUAGAAAAACGGGUUCGGAAGUCGGUUACGUAUGAGGAAGGAUUAGCACCCUCAUUACGCCCAAAAAUUGGUACCUCGUUAAUUAAUUAAUGUCUUAAGGUCAAAAAUUUUAAAAAUAUAAUCUUUAAAAACUUAAAACGUUGCAUAUUAAGACCCUUUUCAAUUCAGAGAAGCAAAAAUGCUACACCCAAUACGUUAGGGAACAACAUUCUAAUUUCCCCCAAAAUGAAUUAGGUCAGAAUAUUUAUACAAUAAAACUUUAAAAGAACAUCCACUCAUCCAAGAUUUAAGAAAUCACACCCAAUACGUUAGGGCACGAUUCCUUUAGAAUCCCAAACUCGGAAUAUUUCCUUUACUUUAAAAGAACAUCCACUUAUCCAAGAUUUAAGAAAUCACACCCAAUACGUUAGGGCACAAUUCCUUUAGAAUCUCAAACUCGGAAUAUUUCCUUCAUGAUUUUUUUUUAAAAAAAUCUUCAUUUCGAGAAAUCAAUGCGUCACAUCCAAUACGUUAGGACACAACGUGUUGAAUUCCCAAUAAUGAGUUUUUAUUUUUUUGAUUGAAGAGAAAUGCUCGAUUGUCGGAUUUAACAAAAAAAAUCAGAACCCAAUACGUUAGGGCUCAAUUCCCUUGAAAAUCCUAAAUACGAAUAUUAUCUCAAUUUAAAAAAAUUUCUAUCUUUAAAUUUGAGUAAAAAAAUGAUGUAACAUGAUUUUAUACAUACAAAUGCUAUAAUAAUAAUAACAAUAAUAAAUACAUCAUCGACAUAAAAAUAAUAUAAACAAAUGAAUAAACAAAAUAAUAAAAAAAGGUAAUCCAUGACAUGCAAAAUAUUAAAUGUAAACACAAUCAUACAAUGGAUGGGAUAGCAUUUACAAAUAUACAUAUAAUUUACAAAUAAAAUUUUGGGUUAUAGAAUUUAUAUAUAAAUACAAUACAUAAUAUACUUAUGCAAAUAAAGAAAAAAUAUAAUUAUACGUACAUAUAUAAAAUAAUAAAAAAUAGGUAUAUUUUAAAAAAAGAAAAAGUGAGUAUUUAAUCAUUAAAAAACGUAAAUAUAUACAUAUAAAUAUGAAAAUAUUCAUUAAAAAAUAUAGGAUAAUAUUCGUUUUAAAAAAUAUAUAUACAUGUACAUAUAAAAGGAAUAUACAUGGAUAAAAAAAUUAAAUAAUGAGUACAUUAUCAAAAUUAAUUUUUUUAAAAAAAUAAAUAUACAUAUAUAUACAUAUAUAAAUGUGAGAAAAAUAUAAGUUAAAAAUAUGUGCAUAAAAUAUACAUGUAUAGAUUUUUAAAAAAAUAAAAAUAAAAAAUGAUUAUGUUAUUAAUUAAUAAAAUAAAUGAAAAGAACAAAAAAGGAAAAGAAAAACUAAAUUGAAUUGCAAUAAAAAAAACUGGGGUAAAUCCGCAAAUAAAUAAAAGUAAAAGGAUUAAUUUGAACGCGUGAAUUACAUAGAGGGGCUAGAAGGGAAAUUUUCCCUUCUCCUCUAAAACGACGCCGUUCAACUUAGACCCAAUUGAAAUAAAAAUAAAUAAAAGGGUAAAUCAAGAAAAAUAAAAAAAACUUAAUUACAAAAACAUUAAAAGGCGGAAGGGCUAAAUAAAAUAAAUAAAAUUCGCAGUGGUAUCACCUUCUCCCUCUUUAAAUUCAUAAAUAAGUAAAAUAAUCGAAAAAAAAAUAUAGUAAGCCACCUUUAAAAAAUUGCCAAUCGUUCUCUUUUUUAUUCCUCUUCCUCCUUUUUUUACAUUACAUUCAGUGGCUUUAUAUAGCCAUUCUAAAAAAAUCAUAUAAAGAAGAAACAAAUCUCUUUUAUUUGAUUUGUGAAUCUUUGAUUUCAUUUCCUUUUUUGCUCUUGCUUGAUAUGCUUGAUUUGAUUUUGCAAUCCUUGAUUUUCUUUCCUUUCUUGUUUGUUUCCUUGUAGGUGAAGAUCGAUGACGCUCGUGACUGCGGCGCAAAGUCUUCUUAGAAACCCUAGGGUUUCUGCAAAUGAUUUGAGUCACUGAAUUUGGGCCAUUUUCGAAAUUGGGCCACCGUUUUAAAUUGGUUUUGGGCCUUAUGGCCUGUUUGUAAUUUUAGGCCUUUUACCCGGGCCAAAAUCGGGUAUUACAGCUGCCCCUCUUUGCUCGUUGUCGUGUAACAAGAACAGAGCAAAGACUCAACACAACCCAAGAAAUUAAGACCCAAUAGGUUGUAAAUGAAUGAUGAAAUCAAUAGUUUGAAAUGAUGUGUAUUUGUAGUUUUAAUUUCUAUAUUAAGAAUAUGCAUGUUAGACUUUUUUAUGAAAAAUGCAAUAGAAUUUAUAUUUAGGUAAAGAGUUACAAAGAAUUUGUUACUAAAGUAAAAAUUAGAACAGUUAGAGAUUAUCGAUUAGAUAGGGAAACAUAUGGAUUUGAUGAUUAUUUUAGUUUUUAUAUUUUCAAAUGAAUAAUUGGAUGUAUUAGUUGAGAUGUACUAAAUGAUUUAAAUACAAUUUAUAAAUUUUGCUAAAAAACUUUAUUUGAUCAUGUUUUUUUUUUCCUAUCAUGCAAAUGGUAUGAUGUCCAGAUUAUCUGGUCUUUGACUUCAUUUGUCAAUUAAUGAUUGUGGAUUGACAACAUUGACCAUUCUAUGCACGGGGACUACUCAUGAUCUACACAUUUUCUGCCAUUCUCACUACCCAUUGCCAUUCAUUCUCACUACCUAAAUACUCAACACAACCCAAGAAAUUAAGACCCUAUCAGAGGGAGAAUUUUAUAUCUACAACACUUCCUAAAUUUCAUUAAGUUAAUAAUAGCUAUUCAAUUUUUUUUUCAUUUUUUUUACUUAAAUUAUUUUUACUUACUUUAGCAUUUAAAUUAGAUAAAUUAUUCCAAAUAUUUAACAUUGUAACCAUGCUGCUGUACAUAUAGUAAUUGCAUUUGUAAUUCUACCUAACUCAUGAAAAAUCUCAAAUUCGCAACAUGUUAUUCACAUGCCAACCAAAUCUACAAUUUGCCUCCAAGUAAUUAACAAGCUGAUUUUGUAAACUGCUUUUGUCUGAUUUGAGUGAUGUUGGAAAAAAGGUCGCAAUCUUCUAUGAAAGCUUUAAACGCGUGGCAAUUUUCAUCUCUUAUUUUAUUUUGUGUGGUACUUGUAGAUCAGAGUGUUGAUUAUAUCACUGCCUGACACAACACGUACGUGGAGGACAACGAUUUGAGGGGAAAUAGAGAGAUUAUCUUACGAAUAGCAGAACCGGAUAUUGUCGUAUUUGAUUAUAAAAAGGUGUCGGGGCUUUUUUUAUAAAAUAACUUGAAAUUUUUAUUAAUUAUAAAAAUGAUAUUUUGUUUAUCAUGUACGUAAAUAAUAAAUAGUAAAAAUGAUUGGCGUGACCUUUUUAUCACGUUAGCUAAUCAUUAACUAUUAAAAUUAAAAAAUUACUUUUUUAAUGAACCUAUUUCGCGUCACAUGCGGUAGAAAAUCAUCUAAGAAAGGCAUGCACUAAUCAAUUGUUUUUAAGUACUAAUAUUUAGGGAUAAGGUAAUAUUUAAUUAUCUGAAUAUUUUAUAAUAGGGACGAAAUUAUAAAAAAGUUUAAAAGUUGAAGUUGAAUUAUGUAUUUUUAUAUAAGUUAAAAUACAAUUUAAUCAUAUUAGUUUGUAAUUUUACAUAUUUUAAAGAGAUUAGAUUAAAAUUUUAUCAUUUUGAAGGAUGAGAUGCAAUUUUAUUUUAUGUAUUAAGAUGUAGAAUUAUAAUCUUUAAAGGCACCCAAAACAUAAUUUUUUCCUAAAUCAAUUGAACAUAAAAAAUUACUCAAUAAUCUAUGGAAUUAAUUUUUUCUUGGCACUUAUAUGCAUAUGGUACAUGUAACAACAUUUCUAUUAAAGAAAAGCAACUUGAACCUGCACUAUAGGGAAGCAACAGAAAUUUAUUGUGACAAUCAAUUUGCUGUUACAAUCGCAUAGAAUCUAGUGUUCCAUGGGAGAACAAAACACUUCAAGAUUAAGUUCCAUUUUGUUAGGGAGAUGGAGCAAGCUCGAGAAGUAGAGCUGACUCAUUGCAAUUCUAAAGAACAAUUGGUAAACAUCUUGACAAAGCCCCUUAGUGUGUCAAAGUUCGAUAAAUUAAGGAAGCAAAUAGGAGUUUACAGCAUGGAAGACAAAGAGGAGUGUUGAAGUUGGCCUCCAAGCAGCUCAUGCAGCAAGGAGCAGCACAUCCAGUCUGAGCCAAGCUUGCAGCAGCUGAAGCACGAUGCUACUGUUAAGUUUCAUUUUCAUUUUGUUACUCUAAUGAUCAUUUUGUAAUCAAGUUAGAUUUGAACUUAGUAACUCCUUCUUAAUGUAAUUAGGUGUUGAUUGGCUGAAAAUUCAGCAAAGCAACAUGUACAAGUUAAUUUAGCAAGUUUCAAUGUAAUUUAGUGGUGUUAGGUAGUUGUUUAGGUGAAAUCUUGUUUGUAUUGACCAGUUUGUCUGGUAUAUGUAAUGGCUUAAUGCCUUUGUUCAUAGUAGUUAAUGAAAAUCAAUUAGUUUUCAUCCAUAUACUCUCCAUUUUUCUUUGCUUUCAAUUCGGUUAUGUUCUCAAGCAAAUUUCUGCUUUGUUUCUUCUCCAAGGCACGAGUCUUGCUGUUCAAGUCACAGCUGAACUAGCUUGCUUGUUGUUCAUAAAACCAAUAACCUGUUCUCGGCUGCGUUGAUAACAAUAUCAUCGAUGAACCUCCGGAUUGCAUUCAUGAACAUUGUGCCAUCACCCAAGCUUGUAAGCAAUUCAAGAACACGAAAAGGUAAUUGGUUUUCCAACAAGAGCAGAUACGAGUACAGAAAUGUCAGCAAAUCAUUUUUAGUUAACAAAUUACCAUCAUUAUCGUAACGCAUGUAAACUGCUUGUAAAAUUGCGCAACCGUCAACGAUGAACAUCCAAGCCAGUUCCUCGUUAUCGUCUCUAUACUUCUCUAAUUCCUGUGGAUCAUAGCAUUCCUUCAAGCCAUCCAUCUCUUUCUUAAUUUUGCUGUACAAGGAUUUCUUAUCGACGCCAAUUUUUUUGACGAAAUGUGCUGCUAAUUUGAGCUUGAGCCCCUUGGAUUCACGUAGGGUGAGAUCAUCGUGGUGGAGUGGGCCGAUUGAGAUCACUUUUGGCUUGAAAUACUUCUUGAAAUCUUCGUUACGGAGAAGGGUUGAUGGGACUUUUCGUAUUAAUGGUUUGUAUCUGAGGGUGGGUUGGCCGCCGCCGAAAGCUUUGUCUAAUGACUGGAGCUUCGCUACUUCGCCAUCGCUGAGAGGGACGUCCGUGAACCGCAUAUCAAUUCCCACGUAAUCGUUGUUGGUGUUGUUGUCGAUGAUUGUUUGAUCAGUGGAAACUGCUCCGGCGGCGCCGCCUCCUUCCUCACUGGACGACAUUUUCAGGCUGACCGGCUCGAAGUAAUUAACAAGGUGAUUUUGAAACCGGGUUUUGGCUGAUUGAGUGAUGUUGGAAAAAAGGUGGCAAAAUGGCUACGAUGAUGACAAAUGUUUCUAUAGCUUACAUAAAGAGGCGAAUAUAGGGGAAUGUAAAAUUGUUAUUUAGGCCCUUAACGUUUUUUUAAAAUUUCAAAUUAGUAAAGGUAAAAUUACAUUUUAGCCUCAUAAAAUUAUAAAAAUUUAAUUUAAUCUUUAAAAAUUAUAAAGAUAUAGACUACAAAAUAUUAAAAUUUCAUUCGAUCCACCCUAAAAAAAUAUUCUGGCUUCGCCCCUACUUACAUAAUAAACAUAUGGAAAAUACUAAUUCAAAUUUACCCCCUUAUAGUCAAUUUAAUUUUCAUUUUUUAAUUUAAUUUUUUAUGUUUUGGAAGAGUCGAAUUUAACGAUCAAUUUAAAUUAAUAUUUUUUAACGAAAAUAGUGACUAAAAUGUUAAAAUAUUAAACAUCACAACUCAUACGCAAUCCACAUCUAUAUUUUUUUAUUUAUUUCUUAUUUUUAAAUUAUUUAUUAACGUGACAUAUAAUAAAAGUCUUGUUAUAUUAGCAUGAAGUACAUAUGAAUUGCCACACGAGUUGUGACACCAAUAUUAUUAAAAAAUUAAUAUUUUAGUUAGCAUAUCUAUUAAAGAAAAGCAAAUUACCUCUUUUUUGAAAGGUUAAUAGCUAAAUUUAGCUCAAAUGAAAAAUAAAUAAAGGCCAAUUUGAUAAAAAAAGGUAUAUGUCAAGAGUUAAGUUUAUCAUUUAUACAAAUACAAAUAUAUGUCUGGAUUAAUCUAGAAAGAACAAGACAAACUCUACACGUGAUAUACAAAUGUGAUGAGAGUGAAACCUACACAUCACAAUUGAGAAUAAUAUUAUAGAACCUAAAUACUCAAAAACCUAAAACCUUCCCCUUAACCAAGAAGCUAAGACGCUAUGGAUAAUUUUAUAUCUACAACACUUAAUCAAUUUCAUAUGCAAAGAACACUUACUUUGGUUGAUGUAUGGUAUAAUAAGUCUGCAAAGCACUAAGAGUAAGUGCAGCAAUGGCACCCAAAAAUGCCAAAAACGUCCAAGGACUCCUAAAAUAAGUAUGAUAACCUUGAGCUGCAUGAUUAAUCCACAUAGUCUUACAAUGAUUAUGUAUUUUCUCUUUAACCCCACUGUAAAUUGUCGGACUAGGAACCAAAUCAGUGUUCAUCUUAUUGAAAAGCUUAGCCAUUUCUUCAUCACUGCCCAAUCCAUUGUAUAGUAUGCCGGAGUCUCUAAGGUCUUUGACAUCUUCAGCUUCAUCGAUCAAUAAAUCAAGGAAACACAUAUAUGAAGUGACGGUGAAAUCGUUGUCGAAAUCCGGACACAUUUCGUAAGCUAUUAAGUUCAUGGUUGAAUCAUCGACGGAGAUCGGCGGUAACCGUAAUUUUCCGAAGAAGAAGAUAUGGUUGAAACUGAUGUCGGUUAAAUUACUUGUGUCGCUGGCUUCAAACCAUAUCCCGGCCUUUUUAAGCUCUUUUACGUUACCAAUGGUGCGUGAAUGGUACCGUUUUGUUGUUUUUGUUCUUGCUGCUGAUUUGCCAAAUCCGUGUCGAUUGAAUUCCCAAAGAAAACACCAGCACCGUAUUCGUACUUUUCUGAGAAGGAGUCUUUCUCGUAGUAGAUGUAAUAAGUGAAUUCGCUCUCCUUCUUUUUGCUGCUUCCACCACCAUUCCCUACACCAAAAUCUGUGUUAGUCGGAAGCCAAGCUACAAUUUCUCUUUUCUCUUUUCUUUUUUUCUUUUUUGUUGUUGGAUUUGGAAUUGUUAAUUUAUAUGAAGCUAAAAUUAAGAUUUUCAAAAUAAAUAAUCCAACGAUUAAGUUAUUCAAUUUACUUAAUUUAAUUGAAUAAAUUAUUAAAAACUUCGAUUCGAUAAUACGGUUUAAUUAAAUUUUUUUACCCUGUUUAUAUAAAGUUUUAAAUCGGUUAAUCUACUCCGAAUUGAUAAUUCAAUUAAUUUUCAAUCCAAACCAAUUCAAACAAUAUUAACUAAAAUACAAUUUUUAUUGUUGUAUUAAUGCAAAAAUCUUACCAGUUUUAAAACAUUAAACUUUUCCAUUCUGAAAAGUUGGAUUUGAAAUCAUAAUUUUUAAUUUCUAAAAAUGAACACUCAAGGAUAAAUGUAAAACGACAGGCAGGGGUCGUUCCCAAGAAAUGAAAAUUUACACUUUAAUCUCUUUUAAAUUUAUUAAAUUAUAAUAAGUCCUCAAAUUAAAAAAUAAUAAUUGUUCAAUUUUUUUAAAAAAAUAAAAUCAUAAAUUAAUACAAAAAAAUUAAAAAUCAAUCAGGUUGAAUAAAAAAUUAAAUAAAAUUGAAGUUACACCAAUUGAAUUAAAGAAUCAAAUAAAUUUCUUUUUAUAUUUUUAAUAUUUUUAAAAAAUUAUAUAAUUAAAUUGAAUAAACUAAUCAACCAGAAAUGAGAGUUUAAUAGAUUCCAUCACUCAUCUAGUUAUAAAAACCUUUUAACAUUUAUUUAAUUCCCUAAAUUACCUGUCCUCGCCUGGGAUGAUAACAGUUUCGUCGAUGAACCUUUGGAUUGCAUUCAUGAACUUUUCGCCAUUUUUUCUCGGCCUUGUAAGCAAUUCAAGAACACGAAAAGGUAAUUGGUUUUCCAACAAGAACAGAUCCGAGUACACAAAUGUCAGCAAAUCGUCUUUAAUAAACAAUUUACCAUCAUUAUCAUCACCAUUAUCAUCAUCACCGUAACGCCUGUAAACUGCUUGUAAAAUUGCGCAGCCGUCAACGAAGAACAUCCAAGCCAGUUUCUCGUUAUCGUUGCUAUACUUCUCUAAUCCCUUUGGAUCAUAGCAUUUCUUUAAGUCAUCAAUCUCUUUCUUCAUGUUGUUGUACAACGUAUCCUUAUCGACGCCAAUUUUUUUGACGAAAAGUGCUGCUAAUUUGAGCUUGAGCUUCUCGGAUUUCCGGAGGGUGGGAUCAUCGUGGUGGAGUGGGCCGAUUGAGAUCACUUUCGGCUUGAAAUACUUCCUGAAAUCUUGGUGACGACCAAGGGUUGAUGGGACUCUUUGUAUCAAUGGUUUGGCACCGAGGUUGAUUUCGUCGCCGUCGAAAGCUUCGUCUAAUAACCGGAGAUUCGCUACUUCUCCAUCUCUAAGAGGGACGUCCAUAUCAAUGCUCACGGAAUCGUUGUUGUCGGUGAUUGCUUGAUCAGUGGAAACUGCUCCGACGGCGCCGCCUCCUUCCUCCGUGGAGAACAUUUUCAGGCUGAGUGGUUGGUAGUAAUAAACAAGGUGAUUUUGUAAACUGCUUUUGGCUGAGUGAGUGAUGUUGGAGAAAAGGUGGCAAAGUGGAUACGAUGAUGGGAAAUAUUUUAUAGCUUACACGAUACACAUAUAUAUAUGGGAAAUACUUAAGGUGUAAUUCAAAUUUACCCUGUUUAUAUUUUUACUAAUAUAAUUUUAAUUUUUUAAUUAAAUUUAAUUCUCUUUUGAAAGAGUCAAUGAUAAAAAAGAAAUUAGGAAAUUAGGAAAAUGUGUAUAUAGAUGUACAUAUAUAAAAAAAUUGCAAAAAUAUAUUUACAAUAAUUUUGAAGGGCGUACGUGUAUAUCAAUAUCUAUUUAUGUAUAUAUAUAUAUAUAUUAUAAAAUAUAAAAAAUAUAUAAAUAUAAUAGAAAUAUAAAUGUAUAUACGUAUAUAUGUAUAUAAAAGCUAAAAAAUAAAUAAUAACAAUAUAUAUAAAAAUAUGUAUAUGUAUUAGAGAAAUAUUUAAUAUAUAUAUAUCUAUUAGCAUACAUAUGCUUAUAUAUGUAAGUAUAAUUAUAAUACUAUAUAAUAUAAUAAUAAUAAUAAUAAUAAUAACAAAAACUAAAAAAUAAACUACAACAAAAAAACCUUAAAAAGGACCAUUAAGGAUUAAACUGAGAGCUAAACGAAGUUAAAAGGCCAAAUUUAAAAAUAGAAAACACCAGGAAGGACCAAAUUGAUACGCGCGCCAUGAGAGGAGGACUUAAAAAGUAAUUUUCCCAAGUCACUCAAGCACUGCGCAGUGAUAUGGAUUAAAUCGUCACGCAAGCGAAAUAUUUGGGCUGAACUUAAAAGAAAAAAACUUGAUUAAACACAUCGCAAAAUGGGGAGGGCUAGAUGCGCAAUUUCCCCACUCAGGGCCAGAACGCGCGGAUCCCCCCUCCGAGUCGGGUCGACACGCUGGUCAUGGCACCCUAAACGGCGCCGUUUCGUCUUGUUUUAAAAACUCCUAAAUCUGACUUUCUUUGAUUUGAAACUGGAAAGAAAAAAAAAACCCUAGGGGUUUUGUUUUCUCCCCCGCGCCGCUUCCAAUCGAUCCGGCCGAUUCGAAUCUCGGCCCCAAAUCUGGCUCCGAUUAAGACGAAGCAGACAUGGUUUUCAAUGGCACAACCACGUAGGUAAUAUUCCUUUUUUUAUUUUUUUUGUUUAACACACAAAAAUCGGUAAAUAAAUUAAGCAAACAAAGAAGAGAAAACAAAACUAAGAAGAACGUCACCUCUUUUAUUUCACUCUUUUUUCGAUUUUCAGUAUUCCCCCCCCCCCCACUAUUUACAUAUUGAAGUUGGCCUUUUAUAGCCGAAAUGGAAAUGAAAACAUGAACAAAAUCAAAAAGAAAAAUUGUUGCCCGAUUUUUGCUAUUUUGUUUUGUUCUCUUUGUUGUGUUUUUGUUGCUGUAGGUAAUGCGUGCGGGGAAGGCGCGAGAUUCGCGGCGACGAGGAGCGCGAUGUGUGGGCGCGACGCACGGGAGUAGUUGCAGCACCAGUUACUGCGGCGCUGAAGCAGAAGCUUAUUUAAGGUUUGUGCAAUUUUGAUGUUUUUUGGGCUAGGGUCUGAAAAUUAGUUGUUGGGCGGCCUGUUAAUGGUUUGGGCCCGGGCAUUAUUGGGUUUUUAUAGCUGCCCCUCUUUGCUCAUUGUCGUGUAACGGAAAUAGAGCAAAGACUAAAAGCCCAAUUGUGCUCGGUCUUACUGAGCCUCGACUUCUUCAAUACUUUUCCUUCAAGUAGCCUCAUUCCCUCCUACUGCAUCUUCAGAGGUAUAGGAACUAGUGCUUCAAUCUACUCCGCUACAAUGUCAGAGAGAUAGAAUUCAUACUUUGUAGCUUCUCAAAAGAACAAAAGUUGUCAUCUUUUAUCUGUUUCACUGCAACUUCAGGGAGAUAAGACUUAUAGCUUCACCUUGUUCUGCUACUCCAUUGCAACUUCAAGGAGAUAGGAUUGGUUUUUUUUUCUGUCUGCUCCACUGCAACUUUAGGGAGAUAAGACUGAAUAUGAUCUACUCUCUGCAACUUCAGAGAGAUAAGAUCUGCUGUAUUUGAUCUACUUCACGCCAAUACAUGAAGACAAAAUCUAUUUUUUUUGACCUACUUCGCCACCUGUAUGGGAAGACAAGAUCUACCAUCUUUGACCUGCUUCACGCCAAUACAUGAAGACAAUAUCUGCUUUCUUCGGUCUACUUCGCCACCUGUAUGGGAAGACAAGAUCUGUUUUCCUCAAUCUACUUCAUGCCAAUACAUGAAGAUAAGAUCUGUUUUCUUUGACCUACUUCGCCACCUGUAUGGGAAGACAAGAUCUACCAUCUUUGACCUACUUCACGCCAAUACAUGAAGACAAGAUUUGCUUUCUUCCAACCUGCUCCACUAUUGUUCAGGGAGAUAAGGCCUUAUGAUUUCAUUGAUCUGCUCUCUGUGGAACAUGACCUGUAUGAUUCAUUUUAUGAGCCUAAUUAUGCCUAAUGAUUAGGAUGUCAUGAUCAGAAUGAAUCAAAUGCUCCUAACUAGACAUGUAUGAAUGACAUUUGAAUGAGUGCAGAAUGUCAUGAGAAUGAUAUUUUAACGCUUGAGUUAUUAUUACUCCAAGUUUAUUAACGUUAUCGCCAAUAUGCUCUAGCGCCUUAUUGCUCGGCUGGCGUCUCUAAAAAAAACUUGACCAGAUUGCCCCCACUAUAAACCUUCAAGUUUGAUCAACUGGGAUGCAAAAUUUGUACCAUUUUUCUCCUGUUGUAACCUAAGAGUAAAAGAUUUGACUUUUUCUCGAUCCUCUGUUAUCACAAUUCAAAGAUACAUGAUGUGAAACUUUUUGGUCUAUUACAUCAUUCUGAGGGUGUUGUACCAAAUGCUCAUGCACAAAUGAAGAAAUUUCUUCUCUAAGAAUAACUUCUUCUUAUUAUUCGGUGAUUACUUGAGUGACCUCAUUGAAGCUUUGUCACCAACACGACAUCUUCCCAUUUUGUUCAAUCAAUACUUCAGACAAGAAAAUUCAAAGGGAUAAUAUUAAUUUAGACUCUUCUUUAUCAAGUUUCCAACCUUUGAACCUGGUGCCUUCUAAAUAAUAGUCAUGUUUGAGGUUCCUAUAUUAUUUAAAAGCUUCUAGAGUAAUAAGCAAAACUUCCUUUGUGAAAUUUUUACUAGUCCAUUCAUCAUUAUUCUAAUGCAACAUGAUUGCAAAAGGAUCAUAAUAAUGGAUAAGAAUAGAGUUGGUCCUGAGCAUAGCUCGAAAUGAAUAAAUUAUCAAAAAUAAAGAUGGAUAGCAAAGAAAUUGAUUUAGGAAUGCGUAUCUUGGAAAUGAAGGAAGUGUUCCAAGAAUAACAAAAAUAGUAUAAGGAUGAGGUGCCCCAGAUAUCGCAGCUUGAACUUCUCUGUACAAACUUUUUGAAGACCAUUCUGAGUUUAACAUGUGUUUAGGAAAUCUAUAGUACUUUGUCGAUGCCCCCAAGAUGUCGCCUACCCCUUCCUGUUGAUUCAGGUAUAGCAAGACCACUGCAUGCCCCACUCUAAUCAGUAUUUGAGCUACUCUGAUAGCUUCUAGUGUCAUUUUGAUCAAUAUUCGAGCUACCCUUUUCGGGUUUUUAACUCAAAUCCCCUUUAGUUUAAGGUGCCCUUUGCGGGUUUUCACCUUAGCCUCUCCAUUUUAUUUUUUUCAUUCUUCAUUUUAUCAUUUUUUUUACGACUCAAAGUGCCCUUUGCGGGUUUUUACAUUGGUCAUCUCCUUCUUUAAGUAGAUUAUUUCCUGACUGAACUUGAGUUUACAGGACUUUGGAGGUUUAUCAUUUCACUCAAAAUCAAAACUCCUUUGGAAAAGACCUUCUUUAUAACAUAAGGUUCUUACCAAUUUGGCAUCCGUUAUUUUUUUUGUAGGGUGAGGAUCUUCUUCAGCAUUAGGCCACCAUCGUGGAAUUCUCUGGGACAAACCUUUUGCUAUUGGCUCGCAUCGUUCAUUUCUUGGUACAUCUGACCAUGAUGAAUAGUUUCUAGCCUUUUUCUUCAAUUAGGUUCGACCAAACGUAUCGGGAUUGGAUCUUCAUCCUACUUCAGCUCAGUCAAAAUCCAAAGAGAAAGAAUUUCAACUUCAAUGAAAAAAAUCGUGAAAAACUGAAAAGAGUGGCAUUGCCCCGAUUGAGUUUUCUCUGCACCAUUCAUGAUAUUCACCUUGAACAUACCGCAAAUUUAUGAUAUUGUGCUAUUGUUCAGAUUACAAUGACAGUGCUUAAAUUGGGCACAUCCUCGUAUGACCAUGCGAAGACAUCUUUGAACUCUUGAAGUAACUCAAUAACAUCUUGCUUUGUUUCUUCGGUCAUGCAUGUUCCCUCAAGGUCACAUUCUCCAUUGUCCCCUUAUGAGGUAAAUUUGUUUCUCUUAUUACUUUACCACCCUCAACAAGUCAGGAGAUAUGCUACAAUCUAUGACAUCUUCAAAGUCAUGAGAUCCCUCUAAACACAUGUCUCCCUUAACAAGAGAUUCAGAGUCCGUAGCAGUGCCAAUCAUGUCAUUGAUAUCCAGAGACCUAUUAUAAGUGCCAAAGAAUGUACAUAAUAUGAAUGAAUAAAAGAAUGGUUUGGCAGAAAAAUCUAAAAGAAUGAACGAAUCGUAAAGAAUGAAAGAACAUUUGCUCAAAAAUGAUUGCAAUAAUGUAUUUCAUUAAAAUAAUCAUGUUCGGACAUGAGCCAAUUUCACAAAGACGUUCUUAUUUCUUUUAGGCUAAAAGCAACAAGGGUGUUCUGAAUAUUACUCUAAUAGACCCUAAAUACUGUAGGGGUUUCCUCUGCAGUCCCAUUAUUUAUAACACCUCUCAGGCGAAUAUCUAACCAGAACCCUUUUAAUUGCGUCUGCACACAUGGCAUCGAUGUGCAAAUUUCUUACCACUUCUCUAUGCAUUGCAUUCCCUCCAUUAUCAAUCAUGAUUGGGUAAUGGAUUUUCUGCACUUGAUGAGUCACCAAACUUGACAACACCCAUGUCGAUGAGUCUUGCAACUUGCUUCUUGAAGGAAGUGCAAUUCUCAAUCGAGUGUCCCGUAAUUCCCGCAUGGUAUUCACAUUGUGUGUUCGCAUCAUACCAUUUGGGAUACAGAGGUUGUAGAGGCUUCACAGGAAAAGGAGAAACAACACGGGCAUCAAACAAAUUUUGAUACAGUUCCCUAUACGGUAUUGGGAUUGGUGUAAACUGGAACUUCUUAGUCUUUAUACCAGAAUCCUGCCUUGAUGAAUUUUUUUGAUUAGUAACCACCUUUCUUGGCUGACUCAUAGUAACUGAUUUAAAGUAACCCGUGUUGUUCACCUCAUUUUCUCUUCUCCUUGAGGCUGACCUCCUGUUACUCUCCUCUGCAUCGAUUUUUUCGCUCCUUAUAGCAUUUUUUAUCAUUUCACCGUUCAUAACUAUGUCAGAAAAGCUUUUUGUAGCACUUCCUAACAUAUGUGUGAUGAAUGGAACUUUUAAUGUAUUUAUAAAGAGCAUUGUCACUUCUCUUUCCAAGAGCAGUGGCUGAACUUGGACGGCAACUUUCCUCCAUCUCUGUGUGUACUGCCUAAAGCUUUCACUCAGCUUCUUCUCCAUGUUUUGAAGGGUGAUUCUAUUAAGAGUCAUGUUUUUCACAUGACUAUAUUGUUUCAUGAACGACUGUGCCAAAUCCCUCCAUGAACCAAUCGUGGUACAACUCAGUUGAUUGUACCACUUGGAUGCUGCCCCUACUAGGCUAUCCUGGAAACAGUGUACCAAAAGCUGGUCAUUGCUAACAUAUCCGACCAUGCGCCUGCAGAACAUGGUGAUAUGAGCUUCUAGGCAACUUGUCCCAUUGUACUUCUCAAAUUCUGGCAUCUUAAACUUGUGAGGAAAUACUAAAUCUGGGACCAAACUCAACUCUUUGGCGUCGAUUCCCCGAUAAUUUUCAGUGACCUCCAUCGCCUUGAACUUCUCCUCAAGCCAUUUGCACCUUUCUUCUAACUGUUUUGGUAACUCCUCCUUUAUUCUUUCCCUCUCGGCACUUCAUCAAAGUCAGAAUGACAGAGUUAAUAGGGUUGUUGCCGAGGUUAAAGCCCGAUCCGACUUGAAAGUUUGAAGCACUGGCUUGGAAUUGCUGAGGCCUGAUUGUAACAGUAGGUUUGUGCGAAUAUUCAGCUUGAGUUCGGGAAUAUAGUGGAGUAAAGCCUGGAGGAUGGAUAGUUUCAUCCUCAUUACCCUCUUCGAUAUCGGUCAUGGGACCCUUUCCCUUAUCACCUCCUUCAGUCAACAGUUGGGUUAGUUUUGCCAUCAUACUGUCCUGGGAUUUUUGUAUCUUUUCUGACAUAUCCUAUUGCAUCUUGUCCAACCGCUCUUGAAUUUUUAGCUGAAGUCUGUCUUCCAUCUCCUUCUGGUACUGUUCGAGCUUUUCCAAUCUCUGUCCAUAUCUUUAACGUUUGCUCGAGUGUCGUAACGGUGUUUGGUUGGUUGGUUGGUUUCCAGGUUAACUGAGCAAUGAUUUUAUCAAUUAGGCUGUUUUAGUGGAUUUUAAUGCAUACGAUGUCAUGUAAUGCAAAUGCAUGAAAUGAAGGCCUAAAGAGAUGUUAACUUUGAUUCUAUUACAUUUAAAAAACUUUACUAGAAGACAAAUUUCUUUACAUAAAACAGAUAUAUAUAUAUAUACGGCUUUGCCCUCAUAUUCCAGUCGAAGACAUCUUCUCCUUCAUCUGGAUGCUAGGAUAAACCUUGCGAAUUCUUCAAAAUGGACGUCUCUUCUAUCUCUUUUUGCUUGAUCCUGGUUGAUAUCCAUCAUCUACCCAUCUUUGUAAUGCUCCUCGGCUUCUUUUAGAUUGUCGAAAACUCUUGAAUAAUCAGCUUGAAUCCUCAGGCCAUAGAGUAAAGUCACGAACUCUUCUGUCGCUCUUCUUGUGUUUCUCAGAAUAUAUUCAGGCAACCGUAUUAUUUUCCAUUUUAUUAAGAAAUCCGUAUUCCAUUACAAGCUUUCUAAGUUAGUAAUCGAAUGUGAGUCAACACCUCUUUUCUAUAAUGAAAUGCUAUGAAGUCAAAAAAUGUCAUGCAGUCAAAACAAAACACAACAAGUUAGCAUCAGGUAUAAACAUUAAAUCCAAUACAAUCAAGAAAUAACAAAAACUCCUAGUCAGGUAUCUACUAAGGUUUAGAGUACUUCUACGUAGGGUAAGUUCCUAAAGCUCACUAUAUAAGGUUUAGUUUCUAGAGUAAGGGUACCCGAACCAGCAGAUUCCUCGAUCCUCAACCAUUAUAGGCUCAUGUGGAUCGAGUCCAGUUCAGGGGGAUACAUUUCCCUAUGGCUGCACGGAGAUGAAAUCUCACGAAGACAUAGGUACGGAUGUAUCCCGGAAGCGGUCCAUUACCCUGCACGGAGGUGAAAACCUCACAAAUGACUAGUUUCUCGCUCAAACUUAAGGGGUAAAAUGCAAAAUGCAAAUGCAAUGUUGCCAACAUACCAUGAUGAAAAAAAUCAAUAAGUACGAAGGGAACUCAUGAAUUUUAAAAACUUUUGAUUUUUGACACAAAGACAAAUAUAAUCAGUUUAUGGCUAGACUCUCUAACGUCCCCAGUGGAGUCGUCAAGCUGUCGAAACCGUCUUCUUGAAAACAAAAAUUUAGUUGUCGACUUUAAAAAGAAAACUGGAGUCGCCACCGAUCCUUUAUUAAGGUGUGAGCGGCCCACCUUAAAAAUUAUUUUGGUCUACAAGCUUUAAGAAAACAAGUUCGGGAGUCAGUUAUGCACGAGGAAGGGUUAGCACCCUCGUAACGCCCAAAAUCGGUACCAAAUCGAUUAUUUAAUGUCUUAGUGUCGUGGACUAGAAAGAAGUUAAAAAAAAACCAAAUGAUGAAAUCAGAAAAGGAUAAUCAAUUGUUCAAGACAUGUAAAGAAAUCGAUUCCCAAUACGUUAGGGUACAAUUUCUCAAAAUUCCCGAACUUUGAAUAUCACUUUUAUUUUAUGCGAAAAUAUUCAUUUUGAGAAAGUAACAUGCCACACCCAAUACGUUAGGACACGACAAGUUAAGUUCCAAAAAAUUAUUUUUAUACUCAUGCAUUUUGAAUAAAAAAUAUUCUCGAUUAUUUAAAAUUAACAAAGAAAAUCGGAACCCAAUACGUUAGGGCUCAAUUUUCUCAGAAUUCCAAAUACCGAAUUGUGCCUUUUAUUCGAAAAUUCUUACGAGAAGUCAAAAUAUCAUGACCAGUAAGUUAGGACCUGACAUUUUUGGAUUCCCGAGAACAAGCUUUUAUUUGAAAUUUGCAUGAAUUUAUUUCAAAAUGAAUACCUGGUUUUCUAAAUUCACCAAGAAAUAAUCGCAAUCCAGUAAGUUAGGAUACGGUUUUUCUCGAGAAUCAUGAAUGCCAGAUAUUUUGGAAUUUUAUAAAAUAUGAUGAUUUUAAUGCUUUGACAGAACCAAAAUAUAUUUUCUUUAAAAAGUGUAGAAAAAUGCUAAUGUAUCACAUAAAAUCAAUAUUUUAAUUUUAAAUUAUAUGCAAAUAUGUAUUUUCAAAAUAUAAGUAUGAUACAUAAAUAAAUUUUGAAAACAUGUAUAUACACAUAUUAAAACAAGUAUAUAUAAGUAUACAUAUAUAAAAUAAAAUAAUGAAUGAUAUAUGUAUAUCAAAAUAAAAAUUAUUAAAAUUUCUAAAAAAAAAUCAUGUAUGUAUAUACGUAAUGAAAAUUGUAAAAAUAAAAAUAAAAAAUAUGCAAAUGCGUAUAUAUUUACAAAAAAAAAAAUAUAAGUAUACAUGCUUUAGUAAAACAGAAAUAAUAAUAGUAUAUGAAGAAAUUAGGAAAAUGUGUAUAUAGAUGUAUAUAUAUAUAAAAAAAUUGUAAAAGUAUAUUUACAAUAAUUUUGAAGGGCGUACGUGUAUGUCAAUAUCUAUUUAUGCAUAUAUAUAUAUAUAUAUAUUAUAAAAAAUGAAAAAAUAUAUAAAUAUAAUAGAAAUAUAAAUGUAUAUACGUAUAUAUGUACAUAAAAGCUAAAAAAGAAAUAAUAACAAUAUAUAUAUAUAAAUAUGUAUAUGUAUUAGAGAAAUAUUUAAUAUAUAUAUAUCUAUUAGCAUACAUAUGCGUAUAUAUGUAAGUAUAAUUAUAAUACUAUAUAAUAUAAUAAUAAUAAUAGAAAUAAUAAUAAUAAUAACAAAAACUAAAAAAUAAACUACAAUAAGAACCUUAAAAAGGACCAUUAAGGAUUAAACUGAGAGCUAAACGAAGUUAAAAGGCCAAAUUUAAAAAUAGAAAACACCAGGAAGGACCAAAUUAAUACGCACGCCAUGAGAGGAGGACUUAAAAAGAAAUUUUCCCAAGUCACUCAAGCACUGCGCAGUGAUAUGGAUUAAAUCAUCAUGCGAGCGAAAUAUUUGGGCCGAAUUUAAAAGAAAAAAACUUGAUUAAACACAUCGCAAAAUGGGGAGGGCUAGAUGCGAAAUUUCCCCACUCAGGGCCAGAACGCGCGGAUCCCCCCUCCGGGUCGGGUCGACGCGCGGGUCAUGGCACCCUAAACGGCGCCGUUUCGUCUUGUUUUAAAAACUCCUAAAUCUGACUUUCUUUGAUUUGAAACUGGAAAGAAAAAAAAAACCCUAGGGGUUUUGUUUUCUCCCCCGAGCCGCUUCCAGUCGAUCCGGCCGAUCCGAAUCUCGGCCCCAAAUCCGGCUCCGAUUAAGACGAAGCAGACAUGGUUUUCAAUGGCGCAACCACGUAGGUAAUAUUCCUUUUUUUUAUUUUUUUUUGUUUAACACACAAAAAUCGGUAAAUAAAUUAAGCAAACAAAGAAGAGAAAACAAAACUAAGAAGAACGUUACCUCUUUUAUUUCACUCUUUUUUCGAUUUUCAGUAUUCCCCCCCCCCCCUAUUUACAUAUUGAAGUUGGCCUUUUAUAGCCAAAAUGGAAAUGAAAAGUUCUCUUUGUUGUGUUUUUGUUGCUGCAGGUAAUGCGUGCGGGGAAGGCGCGAGAUUCGUGGCGACGAGGAGCGCGAUGUGCGGGCGCGACGCGCGGGAGUAGUUGCAGCACCAGUUACUGCGGCGCUGAAGCAGAAGCUUGUUUAGGGUUUCUGCAAUUUUGAUGUUUUUUGGGCUAGGGUCUGAAAAUUAGUUGUUGAGCCUGUUAAUGGUUUGGGCCCGGGCAUUAUUGGGUUUUUACAAUUCCUCAAUUAUUUGGAUUAGAUUUAGAUUGAAAAACAAUCGACACUUGAUUUGAUUGUUUAAAUUUAUAAUAUUUAACUUGAGUGUGAAUGAAUUUUUUACUUAAUUAAAAUUUUAAAAUAGUAAGCUCGAGUCUUUUUUUUAAUUAUGUUUAUAUCAUGUAUAAAUUUUGUUCAAAUUUAUUUUGAUUUAAUUCUCAUACUAUAUAUUCUUAAUUAAAUUCGGAAUAUAUUCUGUUUAUCAAUUUAAUUAUACAUCGUAACAAUGGAUUUGGAUUAUAGUUAAUUAUAUAUUGAAACUAAAUAAUUAGUUUAAGGAAUUAAAAGAGAGAUUAUUAUAUUUUAUAAAAUUUGAAUAGAUUAAUAAUUAAUUCGAGAUUAAAAAAUUGUCUAUCUUUAUUUCCCCCGAGUUUAAUUUAUUAUUUUCCCUAAUUUUAAAUCCAAAUAAUUAGGAGAAGAAAAAGCUAAAACCAAACCUUUUUUACGGUUUGAACUAAACCCCAUGCGGUCUGGAAAAUUGCAAGUUUCCAGAAUACCUACUCUUACUAAUUAUAAGAAAAUUUAUAAACUGCUUUCCAUUUUAGAGGACGAAGGCCUUGCCUACCCCUCCUUCGUAAUUUUUUCUUUUGUCUAAAUUAAUCUUGAAAUUUGAUAGGUUUUUUUUGUUCUUUUAGUCAUUUAACAUUGGUUAAUGGUACAUCAUUACUUGGAUUUGUUUUAAAUAAAUUCUUUCUAUCCUUUUUAGAUUUUAUGUAAGUUGUUUGAAAUUUCCAAAUAAUGACAUGAUUGUUUAAUAUAAUUCAAGUUCAAGAACUAGAUUAAAAAAACUGUUAAGUUCAAUUCAAAGACUAAAAUAUUAAUUUAUCCCUAAUAUUCGUUACCCUGUUUUAAAAUUUCAUUGAAUUUCUUGCCCGCCUACUUUUGUUAUUGACCGUUGCUUUGUUCUUCGUUUUUUAAUUUGAAGUCCCAUAAUUGAAAAAAAAAAUUGGAUGAGAAAUAUCUAAAAUCAUUAGAAUCAUGAAAAAUAUAAUCUCAAAUCCAACGAAUUACCCAUAUCAAGUUACAGAGACUUAGGCCUGGCUAUGGUGAAUUCAUCCCCUACAUUUUAGCAGUCCCAGGUAAACAACACUUACUUUGGUUGGUGUAUGGUAUAAUGAGUCUGCAAAGAAGACACAAAAAAUGCAGCAAUGGCACCCACAAGUGCGAAAAACGUCCAACGAGUCCUAAAACAAGUAUGAUAAGCUUGAGCUGGAUAUUGAAUCCACAUAUUCUUACAAUGAUUAACCUCACUGUAAGUCGUCUGACUACGAACCACAUCAGUGUUCAUCUUCUUGAUAAGCUUAGCCACUUCUUCAUCACUCCCCAAUCUAUUGUAUAGUAUGCCAGCGCCUCUCAGUUCCUUAACAUCUUCGGCUUCAUGGAUCAAUGAAUCAAGGAAAUCCAUAUAUGAAGUCACGGUGAAAUCGUUUUUGAAAUCCGCACAUUUCGUAAGCUAUUAAGUUCAUGGUUGAAUCAUCGAAGGUGAUCGGCGGUAACCGUAAUUUGCCGACGAAGAAGAUAUGGUUGAAACUGAUGUCGGAUAAACAACUUGUUUUGCUUGCUUUGAAACAUAUACCGGCCUUUUUAAGCUCUUUUACAUUACGAAAGGUGUGUGAAUGGUGCGGUUUUGUUCUUGUUUGGCUGCUGCGAUUUAACGUGCACAUGAAAAAUCGAGUGCAAAACCUAAAAUACCGCCAUGGUUUUUCCUUUUUUCUUUUUCGAAAAGGAGUCUUACUCGUAGUAGAUUCAAUAGGUGAAUUCGCUCUCCUUUUUGCUGCUGCCACCAUUCACUAGAGCAAAAUCUGUGUUAGUCGGGAGCCAAGCUAUAUAUAUAUAGGAUUUGGAAUUGUAAAUUUUUAUCAUAACUAAAGUUAAAAGAUUUCAAAAUCGAUAGUCCAACCGGAUAAGUUUAAUUGGUACAAUCAAUUCAUCUAAUUUGAUUAAAUAAAUCAUUAAAAAUAUUAGUUCAAUUACUUGAUUUAAUUAAUUCUUUUUCCAGGUUCGACAUGUUUAUAUAGGUUCUCAAAUCAAAUAGUCUAAUGAUUUUAUUCAAAUUGAUACUUCAAUUUAUUUCCAAUCUAAUCCUAUUUAAACAACAUCAACUAAAAUAUAAUUUGUAUUAUUGUAUUAAUGCAAAAAUUUUACCAUUUUUAAAGAUGUUAAACUAUCAAUUUUCCAUUUUAAAAAGUUGGAUCGGAAACAUAAUUAUUUUCUAAAAAAAAAUGUACACUCAACAGCAACAAUACAAAAGGGACGAGUGGAUUUGAAAAAUGAAAUAUUACAUUUUAUUCGCUUUAAAAAUUAUAAAUUAUAAAAUUAUAUAAUAAUAAAGUUACGCUUUUUAACUCUUCAAAAUUAAAAAUAUUUAAUCCUUUUAGAAAAUGAUGAAAUCACACAUGAAAAAUUUAAGAAUUAAACCAUACUUGUCGGUCGAGUUGGUUGAAUAGAAAAUUGAGUAAGAUAUUGGUCUAGAAUAAGAGAUUAGACCAAUUGAAUCGAGUGAUAAAUUGAUUUUUUUAUAUUUUUAAUAUUUUCAAAAUUUUAUAUAAUUCAACUGGAAUGAACUAAUAAACCAGAAAUGAGAGUCUAAUCGAUUCAAUGACCCAUUUAAUAACAUUUAUAAACUCCACAAAAUGAUUCUGUUCUAAAUUCCUUGAAUUACCUGUCCUGCUGAUGUGAUUGUGGCUCUUUCAUGUAAGCUGGGGUGAUAACAGUGUCGUCGAUGUAUCUUUUGAUCGCCAUCAUGAACUUUUCGCCAUUUUUGCUCGAGCUUGUAAGCAAGAAGACGAAAAGGCAAUUAAUACACAAAAAAAAAAGAAAAAAGAAUCAAACCAGAAUUGUAGGCUAGGAAGCACAGACACGGCUCAUCUCUCCCCGUAUCGGUGUCGUACGUGUGUCCGAUACAGACACUCGACAGACAUACCCAAAUACGUACGGGACAAGCUGGAAUAUAUCAAAAAAAAAUUAUUGGCAUAUCUUACUAUAUCCGUGUCCUAUUUUUUAAAAAUUAUCAUGUUACCGUGUCUGUAUCAUAUCGUACCCGUAUUGCGUGUCUAUAUUCAUAUUCCAUAGCUUGUAGGUAAGGGCUGAACAAAGAAUUGAGUAAGGCACUAGGUCUAGAAUAAAGAAUUAGACCAAUUGAAUCGAAUUAUUGAAUUGAUUUUCUUUGUAUUUUUAAUAUAUCUUUAAUAAUUUUAAAAUUUUAUAUGAUUGGACCGAGUCGUUAAUCAAUAAAAAUUGAGGGUCUAAUAGAUUAAAAAAACACCUUUUUAACAUAUAUAAAACUCAAAAAAAAUAUUCUUUUUUAAAUUCCUUAACUUACCUGUCCUGCUGAUGUGAUUCUGGCUUUUUAACGGUGUUGUUGGUGAACCCUACGGUUGCCUCCAUGAACUUUCUGUCAUCGUUCGAUCUUGUAAGCAAUUCAAGAACACGAAAAGGUAAUUGGUUUUCCAACAAGAACAGAUCCGAGUACUCAAAUGUCAGCAGUUCGUUUUUAAUAGACAAUUCGUUCGACAGAUGCUCAUAAUCUUGGCCAUCAACAUCAUCAUUACCGUAACGCAUAUAAACUGCUUGUAAAAUUGAGCAGCCGUCAACGAAGAACAUCCAAGCCAGAUUCUCGUUAUCGUUGGUAUACUUAUCUAAUUCCUUUGGAUCAUAGCAUCUCUUCAAGUCAUCGAUCUCUGUCUUAAUGUUGUUGUACAAGGUUCCCCUAUCGACGCCAAUGUUUUUGACCAAAAGUGUUGUUAAUUUGCACUUGAGCUUCUUGGAUUCAUGGAGGGUGGGAUCAGCGUGGUGGAGUGGACCGAUUGAGAUCACUUUCGGCUUGAAAUACUUCCUGAAAUCUUCGUGACUGCCAAGGGUUGAUGGGACUCUUCGUAUCAAUGGUUUGGCUUUGGGGUCGAGUUGUUUGCCGUCGAAAGCUUCGUCUAAUGACCGGAAAUUCUCUAAUUCGCCAUUGCUGAGAGUGAGCUCCGUACCCGGCAUUGGAACGAUCGUCUCUUGGGGAUUGUUGGUGGUUUUGGUGAUUGUUUGAUCAGUAUAAUACUAAUGAUAAUUGUAGUAUGGUAUUUGAUCUUCCUUUUCUUUUUCUCUAGUAGGAGCCACUCUGGUGUCUUUUAUCAAAGGAUAUUUAGUUUCAUUGGCUGCUCCAACAUACUAUUUUCUUAAUGAGAUAAAUUAAUGUAGUUAAUUUUAUAUUGAUUUCAAUCAUAUUCAUCGCUAGAUAUUGUUUCAAUAAGAAAUCAAAACAAUCAAAUUUCAUUUUCUACACAAGAGCAAUGGGAUUGGAAAAUUACUUUUUUAUCUUUUAAAUGUAUACAAUUUUAAAUUAUAAUGGUAAAAUUAUACUUUGGUCCCUCAUAAAUCACAAGAUUUUAAUUUAGUUGUUUAAAAAAUUUAUAAAAAUAUUAGCUAAUACAAUGAUGAAAUUAGGUCUUAACUCUUACCAUAAUUUAUAAUUUAGUUUUGGUCCCUCAAAAAAAAAAAUUUUAACUUCACCCUUCUUUCCACACUAGCAAAAAUUUUACUUUAUAUCAAUUGCACUAAUCAGAACAUUGUACAUUAAUUAGUAUAUGACUAAUAUUAAAAAAUAUAUAAAAAUACUAUUUCUUUUAUCAACUUUAGAGUUUAACUAAAUAUAUAAAAUUUAUAUAAUCCCAUUCAUUUAAUGUUUUUAAAUAUUUUAAAAAUCUAUCGAUAAUUUUGAAAAGAUAUACAAAAACAGGCUAGUACUAAUAUGUAUCAAUUUUUGUGGAAAAAUAGUGCGUGUAGUACUAACUACCUUGGAAUAUAAAAAUCAUUUAGUUCUUUAGUUUGGCAACUUUCCUCAGCUUAGUCCUUAAACUUUUAUUUUAUCUACAUUAGUCUUCGAGCUUGACAAUUUUUUUUUAAUUUUGAUUAAUAUAAUGACACAUCAUUCUGAUAUUGUGUAAUGCCAUCACUUGAAAAUUAUAUUUUUAUUAAAAAAAUAGGUGCUGACAUGAUAAAACGUCACCAUAAUAAGCAAAAAUGAGAAAAAUUGUCAAAAUUCAUGACUGAUGUAAACAAUGGUGAAACCAGGGGAUGGCAAGGGCUCCGCCCCGUCCCCCAAAAUGAUUUUUUUUUUCAUUUAGGCCCAUUUAUAAUUUAUAAAAUUUUAAAUUCGUAAUGGUAAAAUUAUAUUUUACACCAAAAACGAUAAAAAUUGAUUUAACCAUUUAAAUAUUAUAAAAAUUGUAGAGUAUUAAAAUAGUAAAAUUAUAUUUUUAUUAUUACGAAAAUAUACAACUUAAUUUCGGCCCGCCCCAAAAGAAUAUUUGACUACACCCUUGAAUAUGGACAAAAAAAGAAAGUCUAGAGAUCGAAUUGAAAAAAGUUACAAAAUUUAAUGAUUAAAUGUUGUCUUACUAUUUUAUUUAACUAAAAGUGUGUCAUAGACACCAAAGUCUUGUAAUUGAGUAAUAAAAAUUUGAUGCUUUUAAGUAAAUCUUGAAUUUAAAUCUCAUAAAUAGAGAAAACAAUACUAAAAAAAUUUUACUUCCCACUUAAGAAUCCAACCCAACUCAAUUUCAAAUUUAUUGCAUAAAAUACGAGCAUGCAUGGAAUAUAUUGUCUCUAACCUUCUCUUUCACUUACUUUUUUAGAUAUUCAAACUUAAAUGAGUUCUAUGAUUAAACAUUUUUUGACCACAAAAUCAAUCACUUUGUCAUGAAAUUAUCAUUACCCAUAUUCUCAAACUUGAUAUUUUUAGGAACAUCAAAUUUUUUUAUUGAAGUUAUUAUACUUGAUUGUUUGCGCAUAUAUUAAUUGCAUUUCUCGUUCUACCUAACUCAUGAAAAAUCUCAACUUGCAACCACAUAUUAUUCACAUGACAAUCAACCAAUUCUUUUUGUUUUUCUUUUUUUUUGUGUAAUUAAGGUAAAAUAAUUUUGAUUGUCUUUCAUGGAUUGAAUAAUCUAGAACAUAAAAAGUUAACAAAAUUAUAUUUUUAAAGUAUGAUUCAAUAUUUAAGUUAAAUUGUAAUUUUUUUAGAUAAAAUGUGACAAAGGUUAUUCAAUUAUAAAAAGUUAUAAAAUAGUCAUUUAAUUAUUAGUAAAUUUUUAUUUUAGUUGUACAACUAUUUAAUUUUGUCACUAGCUGGCUAACAUAAAAAUAAAAGCACCCAAAAAUCUAAGAUAAUUGGGUGAUAAAAAAAUAAAAUUGAAUAAUUGAGUGACUAUUUUGUAACUUUUCAUAAUAAAAUGACAAGAAAUCAUAAUUUAGUUUUGCAAGGAUAAGUAAGAAGAAGAGCUUAUCCCUACAAGACAGGUAGCAACAGUUAUUGAAGAAUUAUUCACGUUUUAGAUUUUUUCUUCUAUGUAAAUACAAUGAUGUUAAGAAAUUGACUAGUGCCAAGCUCACUUUAGCAACGAUCACUUCAAAUUUUCAAGCAUACAACAGCAGCAGCAGCAGGCAGCGAACGUAUGCACUAAUAUUUACUAAUUUAAGAAGACAAUAGGGAUGGUCAAAUAUUCUAAUUGAACCUAUCUGCGAUCGGAUCGGGAUGGAUUUUUUAAAUUUAAAAAAUUAAAUAGAUUUAAUCGAAAUUCUAGGAGUUACAAAAUUCUCAUAAAUAACAAGAUUUUACAAAAAGUACACUUACUUUGGUUGAUGUAUGGUAUAAUAAGCCUGCAAAACACCGAUAAAAAGUGCACCAAUGGCACCCACAAAUGCGAAAAACGUCCAACGAGUCCUAAAAAAAGUACGGUAAACUUGAGCUGGAUAUCUAAUCCACAUAUUGUUAUGAUGAUCAUGUAUUUGCAGUUUAACAUGUCUGUAAAUCAUCAGACUGGGAACCAAAUCCAUGUUCAUCUUCUUGAUAAGCUUAGCCACUUCUUUAUCACUCCCCAAUCUAUUGUAUAGUAUGCCGGAGUCUCUCAGUUCCUUAACAUCUUCGGCUUCAUCGAUCAAUGAAUCAAGGAAACCCAUAUAUGAAGUGACGGCGAAAUUGUUGUUGUAGAAAUCCGGACACAUUUCGUAAGCUAUUAAAUUCAUGGUUGAAUCAUCGAUGGUGAUCGGCGGUAACCGUAAUUUUCCGACGAAGAAGUAACGGUUGAAACUGAUGUCGGCUAAACAACUUGUUUCGCUUGCUUCUAACCAUAUCCCGGCGUUUUUAAGCCCAUUUACGUUACGAAAAGGGUGUGAAUGGUGCGGUUUUGUUCUUGUGUGGUCGCUGCGAUUUGUGAAGGAUAUGCAAAACCUAGAAUCAGCUGGUUUUUCUUUAUUGAAAAGGAGUCUUACUCGUAGUAGAUGCAAUAAGUGAAUUCGCUCUCCUUGCUGCGGCCACCAUUCACUAGACCGAAAUCUGUGUUAAUCGGGAGCCAGCUAAAAUUAAGGUUUUCAAUGGUUGAAUCAAAUCAUUAUUAUUUUAAUAAAACAUUAUUUAAAUUAUUAAAUUACAUUUUAAUCCUUUUAAAAAUUAUUAAAUUAUAAAUUUAUAUACAAUAAAAUUAUACUUUGACUCCUCAAAAUGAAUAAAAAUUUGUUCAAACACUUUUGAAAAAUGAUUGAAAUCAUAAAUUAAUACAUAAAAAAAAAUACAAGAACCAAACCAAACUUAUCGAUCGGCCUAAUUAGACAGAAAAUCGAGCAAGGUACUAGUCCAGAAUAAUAAAUUAAAUCCAUUGAAUCCAAUCAUCGAAUGGAUUUUUUUUUAUAUCUUUAAUAUAUCUUUAAUAUUUUUAAAAUUUUAUAUAAUUGAAUCGAAUAAACUAAUCAAACGAAAAUGAGACUCUAAUCGAUUCUAUCACCUAUAUAUGUAGUUGUAAAAUCCUUUAACAUUUAUAAACUCCACAAAAUAAUUCUUUUAUAAAUUCCUUAAAUUACCUGUCCUGCUAUGUGAUUGUGGGUUUUUAACAGUGCCGUUGAUGAACCUUAUGAUUGAAUCCAUGAACUUUUUGCCAUCCCCCGAGCUUGUAAGCAAUUCAAGAACAUGAAAAGGUAAUUGGUUUUCCAACAAGAACAGAUCCGAGUACACAAAUGUUAGCAAUUCGUUUUUAAUAAGAAAUUCGUUGGGCGUACGACAAUAGUCUGGGCCGUAAAGCAUAUAAACUGCUUGUAAAUUUGCGCAGCCGUCAACGAAGAACAUCCAAGCCAGUUUCGCGUUGUCGUAGCUACACUUCUCUAAUGCCUUUGGAUCAUAGCAUUUCUUCAAGCCAUCGAUCUCUGUCUUCAUGUUGUUGUACAAGGUAUGCUUAUCGAUGCCAAUUUUUUUGAAGAAAAGUGCUGCUAAUUCGAGCUUGAGCUUCUCGGAUUUAUGGAGGGUGGGAUCAGCGUGGUGGAGUGGGCCGAUUGAGAUCACUUUCGGCUUGAAAUACUUCCUGAAAUCUUCGUGAUGGCCAAGGGAUGGUGGGACUCUUUGUAUCAAUGGUUUGGCACGGAGGUCGACUUGGUCGCCGUCUUUGCCUAAUGACCGGAGAUUCUCUAAUUCGCCAUUGCUGACAGUGAAGUCCGUAUCCGUAAUUGGAAUGAUCGUCUCUAGGGGAUUGGUGUCGGUGGUGAUUGUUUGAUCGGUGGAAACUGCUCCGCCGGGAGCUCCGACGGGGCCGCCUCUUUCCUCCGUGGAGGACAUUUUCAGGGUGAGCGGUUGGAAGUAAUAAACAAGGUGAUUUUGUAAACUGUUUUUGGCUGAGUGAGUGAUGCUGGAGAAAAGGUGGCAAAAUGGCUACGAUGAUGAUAAAUGUUUUAUAGCUGACAUAAUAAACAUAUAUGGGGAAUAAUUAAGGCGUUAGUGUUUAUUUUUACUAAUAUAAUUUUAAUAUUUUAAUUAAAUUUAAUUCUCUUUUGAAGGAGUCAAUCUUAAAAAAGAAAAGUUAAAUUAAUGUUUUUUUAACAAAAAUAGUGACAAAUAUUAAAAUUGAGGAUAACAUUAUAGAACUUAAUACUCAACACAACCUAAAACCUUCGCCUUAACCAAGAAACUAAGACCCUAUCAGAGGGAGAAUUUUAUAUCUACAACACUUCCUAAAUUUCACUAGCUUAAUAAUAGCUAUUCAAAAUUUUUAAUGAACCUAUUUCGCGUCACAUGCGGUAGAAAAUAAUCUAAGAAAGGCAUGCACUAGUCAAUUGUUUUUAAGUACUAAUAUUUAGGGAUAAAGUAAUAUAAAAAUGAGAUUUUGUUUAUCAGUUAUCUUCUUGCUGCUCCCACCACCAUUCACUACACCAAAAUCUGUGUUAGUCGGGAGCCAAGAUAUAAUUUCUCUCUCUUUUCCUUUUUUUUUAGUGAACUUGGAACUGUUAAUUUUAUGAAGCUAAAAUUAAGAUUUCCAAAAUAGAUAAUCCAACCGAUUAAGUUAUUAAUUAAUAAAUAUUAAUUUAUUUGAUUUAAUUAAAUAAAUUAUUAAAAAUUUCGAUUCGAUAACACUAUUCAAUUAAAUUUUGGUUAAUAAAAAUGUUAAAUUUACUAAAAUGAUAAUUUUUUAUUUACAAAAUCCAGGAAAUGGGUUCGGGAGUCGGUUACGCAUAAGGUAAAUUGAGAUUUAUUUGAUUUAUUAAUAAAAAUGUUAAAUUUACUAAAAUGAUGCUUUUUGGUCUACAAAAUCCAAGAAAUGGGUUCGGGAGUCGGUUACGCAUGAGGAAGGAUUAGCACUCUCAUAACGCCCAAAAUUGGUACCUAGUUGAUUACUUGAUGUCUUAGUGUCUAGAAUUGAGAAUUCAAAGAAAAUUUAAAGCACAAUCCCCUAAUUGCAUGAUUUUAUUAAAAUAUCGCAAACUAAAUUAAAUUUUAUGGAAAUAGCCAUCUUAUUUCGAGUCAAUAGAGAAAAAGGAUCAUGUAUCGUAAGUUUGGGCUUGAUAUCUCAAAUCCUCAAAACUUAAGUAUAUUUGCACAGACAAUGGCUUAGAGUUCUGUUCUAAUGAGUUUAAUAAACUAUAUAAGUCAGAAGAGAUUGCAAGACACUUGACAGUUCGCCAUACUCCAUAGCAAAAUGGCAUUACAGAACAAAUGAACAGAAUGAUCAUGGAGAAGGUUUGAUGUAUGUUGUCAAAUGCCAACUUACCAAAGUCAUUUUGGGUUGAAGCAGCCUCUACUGCAUAUAAUCUGAAAAAGGGUUGUUUUGGUUCUUUGGAUUAGGUGAAAAUCCAGUAGCGGUAGGUGCUUUUGCAGAGAUUUGAACGUUUGAGUUUUCGGUUCGUUGCCAGUAAGUGUUUAGGUUCGCUAUCAAUUUUGAUGUAGACGAUUUUCAGUUGUGAGUUUUCGUUAGUGAUCUAACUUGGGCUCUAGUUAUUUAUUUUUAGGUCUUGGAGUGCUUGGGAGUGUAUUUGCAGCUAAACAAUACCAGGUGUGUACCUGAAAUGCAAAAAUAAGGGAUUCGGCGAAAAGACAAAAUUGCUUGCUGUUUGGACAGUAGCAGUAAGCUAAAUUUGAAAAAUCACUAUAAAUUGUGAAAAUCGAAUUAGAGGAUGAAAAAUAUAUGGAAUUAAAUAUAUUUGAAUCUAGUUUCUCAUAGAAGAAACGAAGUAAGUAAAAGAGUUUCAUAUUAUGAGAUAUUUGAAUUUUAGUGAGAUAGGGUCAGAAUGAUUUUAGAAUCCCCUAUCCUAAUUUUAGAAAAUUAUUAAAAAUUGUAUAAAAAUAAUUAUGGGUUAGAAUUUAUAUGUUUAAAAUCAUGAAUGAGUAUAUUUUUAAGAAAAACAAACGAGAAUAUCAUAUGAAUUCUUUACGAGAAGAUAAUUAAUUUUUAGUGUAGAAAGGUCGAAACUGUCAAACAAUAGAUCAAGGGAAAAUUUAAAGAAUAAACUGUACUUAUUGGCUAAACAAAAAAUUCUGAAAAUUUUAUGGUAAGAAGAUAACUGAGUCUAGUUUCAUGAAAAAUUUUCAGAUCUUAAUCGGAAUUCUGUAGCUUACGAUACAAAUAAUUUAGUAACAGUGACUCAAGUAGAUAGCUUUAAGGAUAAUAUAAGUAAAUAGUGGAAACACAUAUGAAUAAUUAACUAGCACGAGUUACAUUAAAAUAGAUCACGAGGCCAAGGUCAAUUUGGGUCAAGUGGGUCACACGGGCGUGUGGGCCCACACAUUUGAACAUCAUGGGCUUGUGGGCCCAUUUUUACUGUUUGACUGAUAAGGUUGCACGGGUCACCCAAGUCGACUGUGAACCUACUGUAGGGUAGGUAAGUUUACCUAGACCCCUAGUUGACUGAAAUGACUGUAUGACUGAUAUGACUAAACCUGAUGAUGUCCCAUUGAUUUGAUAUUGUAUGCCCUGUUUAAAUGCAUGAUAUUAUGUUAUAGCAUGUCAUAUCUGUAUAUUGCAUUGCAUUGCAUUGGGUUGGGUUGGGGGAUUAUAAUGUUUGGAGGAAGUGUACUGAAAGGCCUCAAGCCUAGUUUACUGGCAGCUCAGCUACAAACUACUAUCUAGUACUGCAUCCGGUACUACUUGGAGUGUAGGGAUGGGUGGGUUGAUUAUAUCCCCACAUGGAGUGUAGGGUUAGACGGAGAUGGUGUGUAGAGGCUGGAUGGGUAGGAUUUUUGUGACUGCAUAGCUGUUACUGCUACUGAUACUGUGAUGGGCUAAAGCCCUACUGCAUAACUGUUUUUGUAUUGAGAUGGGCUAAGGCCCAAACUAGAAUGAUACUGAUACUGAAAAGGGCUUAAGCCCAGACUGUGAUUAUCUGUUUACUGCCUGUACAUUUGUAUGGGGAUUACAUACUGAGUUUACAUAAAUUUACCCCUUCUGUUUAAUCUGUACAGGUAAUGCCCAGAUAUAGGCGGAUCGGCGCAGCGGAGGACUUAGUGGUGGUCACACGAUUUCUUUUACACUGUUUACUACCUAUUCAUGAUUUUACUUUUAUUUAGGAGUAUUUUGCUGUAAUUAUGGCAUUUACGAAUUUUGAUUUAAAAUUUGGAUUUUAUACGAUUUUAUGAUUUAAAUCUACUAACGGUUUUUCAAAUAAAAUUAAUGUUUUAUCAAAAAUACCACGAAUAAGCAAACUGUUUAAAAGCUUCUGCAAUAGAAGUAAAAAAAAUGUUUUGAAAUUGAAUAACAAUUUGUAAAUGAAAACGUUUUGAAAACGAACGACACGAUUUGAAGUUAACAUAAGAUAAUAAAAAAUGGUUAAAUAGAAAAGAGGAUUUAGCGACGACAUAUUUUUCAAAAAGCACUACCAUGUGACGCCGUCAGAUUCAGCCAUAACAUCUAGGCUGGGUUUGGGGUGUUACAUUGAUGUUCGGUAUCAUUUUGUUCGUGAUAUUAUUGUUCGUGGUGAUAUUGUUGUGAGCAAAAUUAGUACUCAUGAAAAUCCUGCAGAUAUGAUGAUUAAGUCAUUUCCUAUAACCAAGUUGAGCAUUGCUGAGACUUGAUUGGUGUUUAUUGUUGAAGUUAAACCCUUAAGGACUUUUAUGGAAGAGGCAGAGAACUUGUUCGUUGAGAAUUCGCGAUGAAGAACUUGUUUAUUGAGAAUUUGUGUCAAGGUGCAGAUUGUUAGAGUUGUGUAACUCAAAUUCUAUAAGAUUGCUUGCAAGUCAAGUUAAACAAAGUAUAUAUUCUUUCUGAAAGAUUUAGUAUUUAUGAGUAUAAUAUAUUUAGCAUUUAUUAGCAUAAUAUUUUCGACUUUGAUUAGAAUUAGGUUUCUUCAACCUAUAAAUAGAUGUAGUCGAAACUUCUCUUGUAACCAUUCGAAUUCGACAUAGUGAAUUUUCUUCUCCUUUGCCCGCGGUUUUUUCCGAAAAGGUUUCCAUGUAAAAAUAUAUGUUCUUCAUUUUUAUUUCUCUUUUCUUUGCGAUAUAUUGUCGUUACCGACGUUCUAUUUUUACACUUAAUUUUUUUAAACUCUAAUUAAAUACUAAAAGUUAAAUUAAAUAGAUUAAAUUGAAAAUCCAAAAAUUACAAAAUUCUUAUAAAUAACAAGAGUUUACAAAAAGUAUAGUAAACAACACUUACUUUGGUUGAUGUAUGGUAUAAUGAGUCCACAAAGAAGACAUAAAAAGUGCAGCAAUGGCACCCACAAAUGCGAAAAAUGUCCAACCAGUAUGAUAAGCUUGAGCUGGAUAUUGAAUCCACAUAUUCUUACAAUGAUUAUGUAUUUGCUGUUUAACCUCACUGUAAGUCGUCUGACUACGAACCACAUCAGUGUUCAUCUUCUUGAUAACCUUAGCCACUUCUUCAUCACUCCCCAAUCUAUUGUAUAGUAUGCCAGCGUCUCUCAGUUCCUUAACAUCUUUGGCUUCAUCGAUUAAUGAAUCAAGGAAACCCAUAUAUGAAGUGACGGUGAAAUUGUUGUAGAGAUCCGGACACAUUUCGUAAGCUAUUAAGUUCAUGGUUGAAUCAUCGACGGUGAUCGGCGGUAACCGUAAUUUUUCGACGAAGAAGAUAUGGUUGAAACUGAUGUCGAAUAAACAACUUGUUUUGCUUGCUUUUAAUCAUAUCUCGGCCUUUUUAAGCUCUUUUACAUUACGAAAGGUGUGUGAAUGGUGUCGUUUUGUUCUUGUUUGGUUGCUGCGAUUACAUGAAAAAUCGAGUGCAAAACCUACGAUGCCGCCAUGGUUUUAAUUUGGUCCUUUAAAAAAUUAUAAAUAUAUUAACUAAUACUAUGAUGAAAUUGAGUCUUAACUCUUAUCAAAAUUUAUAACUUAAUUUUGGUUCUUCAAAAAUAAUUUUCUGGCUUCACCCUUAUUUCUGCAUUAGUAAAAAGUCUAAUCUAUAUCAAUUGCACUGAUCAAAAUAUUAUACAUUGAUUGGUAUAUAAAAGAUAUUAAAAAUAUAUAUAAAAAUGCUAUUUCUUUUACCAAUUUUAAACUUUAGCUAAAUUAAAGUAGAAACUUUAAUAUUUUAAGUAGAAAACAAAAAAAAAAAACAAAUAAGCCAAUGAAAAGAAAAAGUGGAAAUAUAAAUUUUAUUAAACUUUAAUUUUCUUAGUAUGAGAUGAUGAUGAUGUUGUGAAUUUUUUAAAAUAAUGUUAUGGUUAAUUCAACCUUUAACAUGUCUUUAAGUAUAAUGUAUAUUUUUAUAAUACUAAUGAUAAUUGUACUUUGCCAAGUCACCAAGUAUGGUAUUUGAUCUUACUUUUCUUUUUCUCUAGUAGGAGCCACUCUCAUGUCUUUUACCAAAGGAUUUACUUUCCUUGGCUGCUCCAACAUACAAUUUUCUUUGUGAGAUAAAUUAAUGUAGUUAAUUUUAUAUUGAUUUCAAUCAUAUUGAUCCGUAGAUAUUGUUUCAAUAAGAAAUUGAAACCAUCAAUUUCAUUUUCUGCACAAGAGCAGGUAAGGAUUGAAAAUUUGCUUUUUAUCUUUUAAAUAUAUAGAAUUUUAAAUUAUAAUAGUAAAAUUGUAUUUUGGCCCCUCAUAAAAGCUCGAACCUGGGUGAGUUCUAUCACUAAACAUCUCUUAACCACAAGGUGAAUCACAAGAGUCCUCUAGCUUGACAACUUUUUUCAAUUUUGGUGCAUGUAAUGACAUGAGACACUGAUAUUGUGUUAUGCGAAAUCAUACUUCAAUUGUAAUUAUUACUUGAUAGCGGUACAAGAUUUUCGUUACAAUGUCUAGAACUACUUAUAAUCUCCAACCAUUAAAUAAGAAGAUAAAUGUACUUUAGCGCGCUCGAACUGACGUUAUUUUGCAUUGACAACAAUCCUAAUGUCAACCAAACUAAAACUCAGUAUAACAAUGGUACAUUAGGUUAAAUGUCUUGAUGUUUUAUUUUCUAUUUUUUGCAAUUGCAAUUGAAUUCCAAACGAAGGUUUCGUUUACAGAACCAUAAAAGCUUUAAAAAUAUUAACUUUGUUAAACAAUAAAUGUUGUAUUUAUUUCAAUUUAAUUUUUUUAUUUUUUAAUAAUAUUAAGAAUUAAAUUAAUUAUUUAAUAGUAAAAAGACUAAUCUAAUUAGGUCCUAUAAUAUAGGGACCUCUCAAAUACAUUCCCUUAACAUUACUUUUUUCGAAAUACAGACAAAAUAAACUAGACUUAUGGGAUGGUGCAUCUAAUUCAACCUUGUAACAUGUCUUUAAGUAUAAUAUAUAAUAAUUGUACUUUGCCAAGUCACUAAGUAUGGUAUUUGAUCUUACUUUUCGUUUUUCUCCGGUAGGAGCCACUCUCAUGACUUUCUCGAAGGAUUUAGUUCCAUUGGCUGCUCCAACAUACUACUUUUUUUAUUGAGAGUAGUUGAUUUUGUAUCGAUCUCAAUCAUAUCAGUAGGUAGGUACACAUUGUUCCAAUAAGAAAUCGAAAUGAUCAAUUUCAUUUUUCGCACAAGAGCAGUGGAAAAUUGUUUUUUACAUAAAAUGUUAAUCUAAUUACAAGGUUUUAAUUUAGUUCUUUAAAAAUUAUAAAGAUAUUAGCUAAUACAAUGAUUUAAUUGAGUCUUAACUCUUACUAAAAUUUAUAACUUAAUUCUGGUCCCUCAAAAAUAUUUUCUAACUUCACCCUUAUUUCUACAGUAAUAAAAAUUCUAAUCUAUAUCAAUUGCACUAAUCAAAAUACUAUGCAUUGAUUAGUAUAUGAGUAAUAUUAAAAUAUUUCUUUUGCCAACUUUAAACUUUAACUAAAUUAAAGUAGAAAAUAAAAAAAUAAAAAGAUAAAGAAUUUAUUUAACAAAUAAGCCAAUGAAAAAAAAGUGGAAAUAUAAAAUCUCUAAAAGCUUAAUCAUCACACAUUGAGGAGUACACUUUUAUUAAGCUUUAAUAUUUUAAAUAUGAGAUGAUAUUAUGGAUAACUUUUUAUUUAAUGUAUUGCUUGGUUCUUUUUUUCUUUUGGAUUUGUUAAAUGAUGAAUUAUGGAUUUUAUUUGUGAAGUUUUUUAUGAAUAUAUAUAAUUAAUUAAUAUUUUUAUAUUUAAAAUUUAUUUAAUCUCAUUCAUUUAAUGUUUUUAAAUUUUUUAUAUAUUAAAUAUUUUAAAAUUUUAUCAAUAAUUUUGAUAAGAUGUACAAAAACAUGCUAGUACUAAUAUGUAUUAGUUUUUGUAGAAAAAUGGUCCGUCCAUUAAUGUAGUACUAACUACCUUGGAUAAAAAAUUAUUUUACCCUUGAAUUUAGCAACUUUCUUCAACUUAGUCCUUAAACUUUUAUUUAUCUACAUUAGUAUUAUAACUUGACAACUUUUCUCAAUUUUGAUGCAUGUGAUGACACAACACUCUGAUAUUGUGUCAUGCCAUCAUUUAAAAAUAAUAUUUUUAAUAAAAAUUAGGUGUUGACAUGGUAGAAACGUCACCAUAAUGACCAAAAUGAGAAAUGUUGUCAAAAUUCAUGACCGAUGUAGAUAGUGGGGAAGCAAGGGGGUUGAAAAGGGCUCUGCCCCCCCCCCCCCCCCGCCAAAUGAAAAAAAUUCAUUUAGUCCCCUUUAUAAUUUAUAAAAUUUUUAAUUAGUAAUGGUAAAAUUGCAUUUUGCCCCCUCAAAAUGAUAAAAAAUUGAUUUAAUCCUUUAAAAAUGAUAAAGAUAUAUGCCAUUAAAAUGGUGAAAUUACAUUGUUUAUUGUAAAAAUAUACAACUUAAUUUCAGUUCCUGCCCAAACAAUUUUUGGCUUCUCCCUUGAAUGUGGACCAAAAAAGAAAGUCUAGAGACUGAUAAGUGCUAAAAGUAAUAUGUUUUAAUCUCGUUUUUAAUGCAUUUUUGGAUGGUUAUUCAAUUUAAAAUGGUGAAUUUUAUGCUCCUAAUCCUUUAAAUUUAUGUUUCUAUACUUAGGAAAACAUUUGGGAGCAAAAAGAGUGAAAAUCGAAAAAUCGGAGCAAGUUUCAAGAGACACACUGGUUGGGCCAUUCUACAUGGGCAGAACACAUGGCAGUGUGAGCCACACAGGCUUCUACACGGCCAUAAGCUAGACCAUGAGGAAAUCACAAAUCGCACUCCAAACCUGCAAGAAAGCUCAUUUUUUGUAGAUUUUUCGGGAAUUCUAAGACCUAUAUAUGACAAAAAUAAGAAGAUGGGAGGGAGCCGUCAUAGAAUAUUGAAGAAAAAACUCAGAAAACACCAUUAAAGCCGACUCUGAAGCAGAUUUUCAUCAAGAUUGAAGAUCUCUUUUUGAUUUCUUUGAAGUUUAUUAUGAGUUCCUUUAUUUCUUGUGGUUAUACUGUCUUUAGGAUGUUUUUAUUUACUAUCACGAACUAAUUUUCUAAAUACCUAGGGAGAUGAACCCUAUGAUGGAUUAUGUUAUUUGAUUUCUAUUUUUAUGCAAUAAACACUUGAAUCUUGUUUUCAAUUCUGAGUGCUUAACUCUGGGUUUAAUAUUUCUAGGCUACUAAUCCAUGUUUGUGUGCUUAAAUCAUAGGAGGGAUAGACCUAUUUAAGAGUAGGUUUGGCGUAAUUGAGUGAAGUUGCAUACAAUCUUAGAAAUAGGAUAGCAUAAAUCUACCGGAUUAGAGUCAAAUCUAAUAGGGGGAUCCAUAGAUCGAAUUAAUGUGACAAUAGGGGUUUUAAUUAAAAAGAAAUUUUAAUUAAUCAACCUAGAUUGAGUUGCUCUUAGUCUUGAAGAGAGAUAUUAGCAUAAUUUAGGGAUUUCUAUGGAUCAAGAUACUAAGUGAAGAAAUUGCGUAAUUUAGAUUGAUAGAGACAGAUGAAGCCCAAGUGAAUUCUUUUCUGGGUAUUGUUUCGCUUCUUGGUUGCUUACUCGUUUAAUUUCUUAAAUUGUUCUUUGUUGCGUUCGUAGUUAAUCAAUCUUGUUGAUUUUAGUUUUCAAUCAAAUCAUUCAAAUUUGUUGCUUAAAUAAUAGAAAGACAGUAAUUACUAGUACUUCUAGUCUUCAUGGGAACGAUAUCUUUGCUCAUCGUAACUAGCUAUUAAUUGAUAGGUGCACUUGCCUUAGUCAUAUUUUUAAUUGGUUUACAAUUGUAAAUAGAGACCAAAUUGAAAAAAAAUUGUCUAAUUUAAGGAUUAAAUGUUAUCUUAUUAUUUUAUUUAACUAAAAGUGUGCCAUAUACACCAAAGUCUAGUAAUUGAGCAAUAAAAAUUAGAUGAUUUUAAGUAAAUCUUGAAUUUAAAUCUUAUGAAUAGAGAAAACAAUACUUUUUUUUUUACUUCCCACUUAAGAACUCAACUCAACAAAAAUAAAAAAAGGUGUUGUAAACUUUGUUGCAUUGUGUGUUAUCCUGAUCCAAAUUAGUGAAAAGGAACUGCAUCCUAAACUUAUUCAAACCAAAUGAUUUAAGUGUCAAUUGGGCAACACAUUUAAGAUGUGUAACAAAUUUGUUCUUCUUUUUUUAAUUUAAUCUUUUUUUCUAAAUACAAAAAAUAUUUUACUAAAUUGAUCUAUUUAAUGGUAAAUAGACUAAUUUGAUCAGAUCCUAUAAUAUAAGGAUCUCUCAAAUAUAUUUCCCAUAAAAUUACUUUUUUUUGUUACAGCUCGUGACACUUGGAGCUAUACCAACAAAUGGUAUACAGAACCUGUCAUCUUUGAGGGUCUUUAUUGUUGGUAGUUUUUUUUAUGAGAAACCUUGAAGAAAAAGAAACUCAGGCUAUUGUUUUUAUUGUUGCUACAAAAUGAAUUUUACACCACCACCACCACCUGUUUCUGCAGGUGAAAACUACCACAUUUGGGCAGUAAAGAUGAAGACUUACCUACAAGCACAUGACUUGUGGAAUGUGGUUGAGAAUGACACAGAACCAGGUCCAUUAAGGGUCAAUCCCACUAUUGCACAAAUUAGACAACAUAGUGAAUAGUGUGCUAAAAAGCACAAAGCUAUGUCAUGCUUACAAAAUGGAGUGUCUGAUGUGAUCUUCACUCGAAUAAUGGCUUGUGACACUCCAAAGCAAGCCUGGGAGAAGCUGAAGGAAGUGUUUUUAGGGUCAGGCAAGACUAGGCAACAGUAGUUGAUCAACCUCGGGAAGGACUUUGAGAACUUGAAGAUGAGAGAGUCUAAAACAAUCAUGCAGUACUCUAAAAGGAUAAUAGCCACAGUCAACAAAAUCAGGCUCCUUGAGAUGAAUUCAGUGAAAGCAGAAUUGUUGAGAAUGUCAAUACAACCCUUCCUGAAAAAUUUCAAGCAAAAAUCUCCUCAUUGGAGGACUCGAGAGAUUUAUCAACCAUCUCACUAUUUGAGUUGAUAAAUGCUCUAUAUGCAUUAGGGCAAAGAAGGGCCAAUAGGCUGAAGGAGCAUCCUGAAGGAGCUUUCUAACCAAAAACCAAGGAAAGCUCAGGUUCGAGCUACAAAGGAAAUUAACCAUGGCUUGACAAAAGGGAGAAACCAAAGAGAGAUGCAGGGAAGAAAAGGUUCCCACCAUGCAUUCAUUGCCAAAGGUCCACACACUUUGAGUUGUGAUAGAGCUAAUUGUCAACAUGUCAUAAUGUUCUAUUGAUAUUAAAGCUAAAGGAGCUUAUCCUUUAAUGCGUACAACUAGUAUUUGUUUUUUUUUUCCCGAAUUAUAUGGUCUUAUUCAUUGAAUAAAUUAAUAAAUUUCUCUUCAAAAAAUUGAUUCUCUUUCAUAGAUUGAAUAAUUUAGAACAUAGAAAGUUACUAAAAUAUUGUUUUUAAAAUGUUAAGUCAAUAUUUAAGGUAACUUGUAAUUCUUUUUUGGAUGAAUUAUAAUACACCCUAUCUAAUUAUGAAAAGUUAUAAAAUGAUUAUUUAAUUAUUAGUAUUUUUUUUACCCAAUUACAAAAAGUCAUAAAUUGGUAGAGGUGCUCAUGAGCCAAGUCAGGCCCAAUCAAAAUCUUAGGCUCGGGCCAAAAAAUGGGCCUAAAAUUUCACCCAAGCCUAGCCUGAAUAAAAAUACUAAAACCCGAGCCCGACCUGACCUUAUUAAAAUUUUUUAUAUUAUUUUUUAUAUAAUUUUUUAAAAAUAAAUAUAAUAUAUCAAAAAUACUAAAAAUUUGAAAAUAAAUUUAAAAAAUAUGUAUACUUAAAUAACACUAAGAUAGGUGCAACUUAACAAGCAAAUACCUCUAAAAUAGUAACAAAAUUAACAAUAAAACAAUAAUUAAUAUCCAAACAAUAACAACAAAAUAGUAGCAACAUUAUAGUGAAAUGAUAGCAAAAUAUUGAGAAAACAACAAAAAUAAUAGCAGCAAAACAGUUAAAAAAAAGCAAGAAAAAAACAACAUUUUUUUUGCAAAUUCAGGCCAGGCCAGGCUCAGGCCAAAAAAAGCCUUACUCAAGGCUCGAAACGGGCCUUAUUUUUUUACUCAAGCCCAUUUUCUAGACCUAUAUUUUUACUCAAACCCUCCAGUUUUCAAAUAGUCAUAAAAUAGUUAUCCAACUAUUCAAUUAUAUAUUUUUUGGUUACUAGUGGGCAAUAUAAAAAUAAAAGUACCCAAAAAUUCAGGAUAGUUGAGUGAUAAAAAUACAAAAUUGAAUAAUUAAAUAAUUCUUUUGUAACUUUUUAUAGUUAGAUGACGAGAAAAAAAUAAAAAUAAAAAUUAGGAGAUUACUAAAGUAAUUUAUUUUUGCAAGGGUUAUUGAAGAAUUAUUCGCAUUUUAAAUAUUUUCUUAUAUGUAAAUACAAUGAUGCUAAGCAAUUUACUUUUUGGAGUCUAUAUAAGGAAAUGGGCCUUAGGAUUUGCUAGUGCCACACUCACUUUAGCAACAAUCACUUCAAAUUUUCAGGCCCACAACAACAGCAACAGCCAGCGAAAUCUAAAAAAGGUAUGCACUAAUAAUUUGUUUUUAAGUACCAAUAGAUAUUUUGAUUUACUUUAGUAUUUAAAUAUCGUUAUGUUACAUGGUUUAUUCUGAUGCGUCGUUGAGAGCACCAAAAAUAUUUUAUUCCUAUAAAAUAACGAAAAGAAUAGUAUAAGGGAAAUAGGGUCAAAUUCUCAGGAACUGAAUUUGCACAAGUUCCUGAUCCUCGAGAUCUCGGGCAGAGUCGUGCUCAAGAAAAACGACGUACCUAGAAAAAAAUUUAAAAAAUAGAAUUAAAAGUAUGGAUGAAUUGAGAUUGCGUAAAAUGAAAUUGAAAUUGUAAAAAUAAACAGAGUUGAGGAAAGAGAAUCUUUAAUGGAGAGAUUUCAGCCUCUAGUUAUCUCGAUCCUCCUUGGGUUCAAUCCUAGGCUUUUAAAUGAUCCUUCUCCUAACAGAAUAAGCCAGUUAUAGUGAAAGAGAAAGCCUACGACCACCAGCUCCACUUAGAUUUUAGACUUACGAUAUAAAGAAACCUAACUCUAGCCAACCGUCACUUUUGUGGGACCGUCUUACACGAGAUCAUCACUUCUCAAUAACAAAUGCCAUGCCAUUUUGUCUCUUGGGCUCAACAACCACUGACAGUGACUCAUGUUUUAUGGGAAAAAUAAAUAAACUUAAUAAAAAUAGAAUUUUAUUGAAUAAAUAAAAGGAACAAAAGCUAGAGCUUUUUGGGAGAGUGAGCUUUUACAGAAAGAUGAGUCCAAUUUGUUCACUCCAUCCCCUACUUAUAAUACUUAGAAAAUCUAGUUUGUCCCUAUUUAAAUUCUAAAAGAUAAAUAAAGAUAAAAGCUGAAAUUAAAUCUAAACAAUAAUCCUAAUAUAAUUCAAAUUUAAAUAGUCUUCUGUUUAUAAAAUCUCUUCUUUGAACUUUUGCCCCCCCAAGUCUUCCACACUUUGCAUUUUCGGCACCACUUCUUUCCUAUUUCGCAUGUUGGCAUAUUUUAUCUUUAAAUUUAUGCUUUUUGCCCCUAAAUUUCCUUUUGCCUUCAAUUUAGUUCCUACAAGAUAAAAAAUCAUAAAUAGCUCAAAUUAGUAGGAUCAUACUCAAAAUAAACAUGUAAUUAAUACAUAAAAAUAUGUCAUUCCUGACUAUUAUCAUAUUCUAAAUACUUAACAUCAUCAAAAAAAAUAUUAAGUGGUACGUUUAAAAAAUAUUAUGUUUAAUAUUUGAGGUUAAUUGUGUGAUGAGAUGAUAAUUUAUAUAUCACAACGAAUUUAAAAUUUUAAAUAUUAUGAUUAAAAAAAACUUAAAUUCUAAAAUGAAAAAAAAGAGAAUAAUUUAAAAAUUAAAUUGAGUACAAAAUCAUUUUUUAAUUAUGAGUAAAAUAUAUUUUGAGACAAUGCAAUUUUAAGUAUUUCAAUUUAUUUAAUCAUUAUUUUAUACUUACCUAUUUAUCAUAUCAAAUAUCAUGAUUCUCUAACAUUAUUAAAAUUAAGCAAUCAAAAAAAAUUUAAUUAAGUCUCUUAAAUUUUAAUUUUUAAAAAAAAUUGAUUAAACACUAAAAAUUAAAUUAAAUAGAUUGAAUCGAAAAUCCAGAAAUUACAAAAUUCUCAUAAAUAACAAGAGUUUACAAAAAAGACUAGUAAACAGCGCUUACUUUGGUUGAUGUAUGGUAUAAUGAGUCUGCAAAGAAGACACAAAAAGUGCAGCAAUGGCACCCACAAAUGCGAAAAACGUCCAACGAGUCCUAAAACAAGUAUGAUAAGCUUGAGCUGGAUAUUGAAUCCACAUAUUCUUACAAUGAUUAUAUAUUUGCUGUUUAACCUCACUGUAAGUCGUCUGACUACGAACCACAUCAGUGUUCAUCUUCUUGAUAAGCUUAGCCACUUCUUCAUCACCCCCCAAUCUAUUGUAUAGUAUGCCAGCGCCUCUCAGUUCCUUAACAUCUUCGGCUUCAUGGAUCAAUGAAUCAAGGAAAUCCAUAUAUGAAGUGACGGUGAAAUCGUUUUUGAAAUCCGGACACAUUUCGUAAGCUAUUAAGUUCAUGGUUGAAUCAUCGAAGGUGAUCGGCGGUAACCGUAAUUUGCCGACGAAGAAGAUAUGGUUGAAACUGAUGUCGGAUAAACAACUUGUUUUGCUUGCUUUUAACCAUAUCCCGGCCUUUUUAAGCUCUUUUACGUUACGAAAGGUGUGUGAAUGGUGCGGUUUUGUUCUUGUUUGGCUGCUGCGAUUUAACGUGCACAUGAAAAAUCGAGUGCAAAACCUAAAAUGCCGCCAUGGUUUUUCUUUUUUUUUCUUUUUCGAAAAUGAGUCUUACUCGUAGUAGAUUCAAUAGGUGAAUUCGCUCUCCUUUUUGCUGCUGCCACCAUUCACUAGAGCAAAAUCUGUGUUAGUCGGGAGCCAAGCUAUAUAUAUAUAGGAUUUGGAAUUGUAAAUUUUUAUCAUAACUAAAGUUAAAGGAUUCAAAAUCGAUAGUCCAACCGGAUAAGUUGGUCCAAUCAAUUCAUCCAAUUUGAUUAAAUAAAUCAUUAAAAAUAUCAGUUCAAUCACUUGAUUUAAUUAAUUUUUUUCCAGCUCAACAUGUUUAUAUAGGUUCUCAAAUUAAAUAGUCUAAUGAUUUUAUUCGGACUGAUACCUCAAUUUAUUUCCAAUCUAAUCCUAUUUAAAUAACAUUGACUAAAAUAUAAUUUUUAUUAUUGUAUUAAUGCAAAAAUUUUACCAUUUUUAAAGAUGUUAGACUAUCAAUUUUCCAUUUUAAAAAGUUGGAUCGGAAACAUAAUUAUUUUCUAAAAAAAAAUGUACACUCAACAGCAACAAUGCAAAGGGACAGGGGUGGAUUUGAAAAAUGAAAAAUUACAUUUUAUUCUCUUUAAAAAUUAUAAAUUAUAAAAUUAUAUAAUAAUAAAAUUACGCUUUUAACUCUUCAAAAAAAAUUGUUCAACCCUUUUCCAAAAUGAUGAAAUCACGCAUGAAAAAAUUUAAGAAUCAAACCUCACUUGUCGGUCGAGUUGGUUGAACAGAAAAUUGAGUAAAAUAUUGGUCUAGAAUAAGAGAUUAGACCAAUUGAAUCGAGUGAUAAAUUGAUUUUUUUAUAUUUUUAAUAUUUUCAAAAGUUUAUAUAAUUCAACCGAAAUGAACUAAUAAACCAGAAAUGAGAGUCUAAUCGAUUCAAUGACCCACUUAAUAACAUCUAUAAACUCCAUUUAAUAACAUUUAAUAUACCUGUCCUGCUGAUGUGAUUGUAGCUCUUUCACGUAAGCUGGGGUGAUAACAGUGUCGUCGAUGAACCUUUUGAUUGCCAUCAUGAACUUUUCGCCAUUUUUUCUCGAGCUUGUAAGCAAGAACACGAAAAGGUAAUUAAUACACAAAAAAUAAUAACAAGAAUAAGAAUCAAACCAGACUUGUAGGCUAGGAAGCACAGACACGGCUCAUCCCUCCUCGUACUAGUGUCGUACGUGUGUCCGACACAGACACUCGACAGACAUACCUAGAUACGUAUGGGACAAGCUGGAAUAUGUCAAAAAAAUAUUUUUUUUAUUGCCAUAUCUUGCUAUAUCCGUGUCCUCCAUUUUUAAAAAUUAUCAUGUUGCCGUGUUUGUAUCGUGUCGUACCCGUAUUGCGUGUCUGUAUUCAUGCUUCACAGCUUGUAGGUAAGGGCUGAACAAAGAAUCGAGUAAGGCACUGGUCUAAAAUAAGGAGUUAGACCAAUUGAAUGCAGUUAUUGAAUCGAUUUUCUUUAUAUUUUUAAUAUAUCUUUAAUAUUUUUAAAAUUUUAUAUGAUUGAACCGAGUGGUUAAUCAAUAAAAAUUGAGAGUAUAAUCGAUUCAAAAAAAACCUUUUUAACAUAUAUAAACUCCAAAAAAAUAUUCUUUUUUAAAUUCCUUAACUUACCUGUCCUGCUGAUGUGAUUCUGGCUUUUUAACAGUGUUGUUGGUGAACCCUGCGGUUGCCUCCAUGAACUUUUUGUCAUCGUUCGAUCUUGUAAGCAAUUCAAGAACACGAAAAGGUAAUUGGUUUUCCAACAAGAACAGAUCCGAGUACUCAAAUGUCAGCAGUUCGUUUUUAAUAGACAAUUCGUUUGACACAUACUCAUAAUCUUGGCCAUCAACAUCAUCAUUACCGUAACGCAUAUAAACUGCUUGUAAAAUUGUGCAGCCGUCAACGAAGAACAUCCAAGCCAGAUUCUCGUUAUCGUUGGUAUAGUUAUCUAAUUCCUUUGGAUCAUAGCAUUUCUUCAAGUCAUCGAUCUCCGUCUUAAUGUUGUUGUACAAGGUUCCCCUAUCGACUCCAAUGUUUUUGACGAAAAGUGUUGUUAAUUUGCACUUGAGCUUCUUGGAUUCAUGGAGGGAGGGAUCAGCGUGGUGGAGUGGGCCGAUUGAGAUCACUUUCGGCUUGAAAUACUUCCUGAAAUCUUCGUGACGGCCAAGGGUUGAUGGGACUCUUCGAAUCAAUGGUUUGGCUUUGGGGUCGAGUUGGUUGCCGUCGAAAGCUUCGUCUAAUGACCGGAAAUUCUCUAAUUCGCCAUUGCUGAGAGUGAGCUCCGUACCCGGCAUUGGAAUGAUCGUCUCUUGGGGAUUGUUGGUGGUGGUGUUUUUGGUGAUUGUUUGAUCAGUGGAAACUGCUCCGCCGGGAACUCCGACGGCGCGGCCUCCUUUCUCCGUGGACGACAUUUUCAGGCUGAGGGGUUCCAAAAAAGGUGAUUUUGGAAACUGUUUUUCGCUGAGUGAGUGAUGUUGGAAAAAAGGUGGCAAAAUGGCUACGAUGACGACGAGUGUUUCAAUAGCUUAUAGAAUAAACGUAUGGAAAAUAUUUUGGUGUAAUAUUAAAUUUAGACUUAAUAUUUAUAUUUUUUUAAUUUGAUUUUUAUUCUUUUUAAUUAAAUUUAAUUCUCUACCUUUUGAAAGAGUCAAAUUUAAUUACCAAUCUUUUAGAAAAGAGUUGAAUUAAUGUUUUUUAACGAAAAUAGUGGUUAAAAUAUUAAUUUGUAAACAUGACAAUUCAUAUGGUAAUCCACGUGUACAUUUUUUUUUUAAUUAUUUGUUGACAUGUGACAUAUAAGAAAAGCAGUGUUAUGUUAGCACGAAGUGCACAUGGAUUGCCAGACGAGUUGUAACACCAACACUAUUAAAAAUUUAAAGUUUUAGUCAACAUUUUUGUUAAAGAAAAACAAUUUGACUCUUUUUCGAAAGGUUAAUGACUAAAUUUAGCUCAAAUAAUAAUAAUAAUAAUAAUAAUAAUAAUAAUAGAAUAGAGGCCAAUUUGACAAAAAAAUGUAAAUAUCGAGGACUAAAUUUAUCCCUAUGUCAUUCUUUUUAAGGUUAACUUAUAUGAAUACAAUAUAGGUUCAAGUACAAAUAUAUGUAUGGAUUAAUCUAGAAAGAACUGGACAAAAUCCACACAUGAUAUACGCAUAUAAUGAGAGUGAGAACCACACAUCACAAUUGAGAAUAAUAAUAUAGAACCUAAAUACUCAGAGACUUAAAACCUUCGCAUUAACCAAAAAGUUAAGAUCCCAUCAUAUGAAGAAUUUUAUAUCUACAUACUACAAUAUUUCUCGGAUUUCAUACGCUAAUACUAACUCUUCAAAUAUAUUCAUUUUUCAUUUUAUUGCUUAAAGUUAUUUUGAUUUACUUUAGUAUUUAAAUUAUCAUUCUGUUAUACGAUUUAUUCCAAACAUUUAACAUCAUCAAAAAAAUAUUAGGUGGUACGUUUAGUCAAUAAGAGCGUGACACAUUAUGUUAAAUAUUUGGGGUUAAUUGUGUGAUGAGAUGAUAAUUUAUAUAUCACAAUGAAUUUAAAAUUUAAAAUAUCAUUAUUAAAAAAAUUAAAUUUUAAAAAUUAAAUUGAGUACAAAAUCAUUUUAAAAUUAUGAGUAAAAAUAUAGUUUGAGAUAAUGCAAUUUUAAGUAUUUCAAUUUAUUUAAUCAUGAUUAUAUACUUACCUAUGUAUCAUAUCAAAUAUCAUGAUUCUCUAACAUUAUUAAAAUUAAACAAUUAAAGCAUGCAAAUAUAUAGAUAAUGUUUUUUUUUUAAAGUAUAAUGUAUAUAUUUGUAAUACUAAUGCUAAUUGUACUUUGCCAAGUCACUAGGUAUGGUAUUUGAUCUUACUUUUCUUUUUUCUCUAGUAGGGAGCCACUCUCAUGACUUUAUUAAAGGAUUUGGGUUACGUUGGCUGCUCCAACAUACUAUUCCUUUAAUGAGAUAAAUUAAUGUAGUUGAUUUUGUAUUAUUUCAAUCAUAUCGGUCCGUACAUAUUGUUUCAAUAAAAAAUCGAAACAUUCAAUUUUAUUUUCUGCACAAGAGCGACGGGAAAGGGGCAAGUAGGGAUUGGAAAAUUGCUUUUUAUUUUUCAAUGUAUAAAAUUUUAAAUUAUAAUGGUAAAAUUAUACUUUGGCCUCUAAUAAAUCACAAGAUUUUAAUUUAGUCUUUUAAAAAAUUAUAAAAAUAUUAAUUAAUACAAUGAUGAAAUUGGGUCUUAACUCUUAUCAAAAUUCAUAACUUAAUUUCAGUUCCUCAAAAAAAUUUUCUAACUUCACCCUUUUUUCUACACUAGUAAAAAUUCUAAUCUAUAUCAACUGCACUGAUCAAAACAUUGUACAUUGAUUGGUAUAUAAAAGAUAUUUAAUAUAUAUAUAUAAAUACUAUUUCUUUUACCAAUUUUAAACUUUAACUAAAUUAAAGUAGAAACUUUAAUAUUUUAAGUAGAAAACAAAAAAAAAAAAAGAGAUUUUAUUUAACAAAUAAGCCAAUGAAAAGAAAAAGUGGAAAUAUAAAUUUUAUUAAACUUUAACUUUUUAAAGUAUAUGAGUGAUAUUAAAAAUACAUAUAAAAAUAUUAUUUCUUUUACCAACUUUAAACUUUAACUAUUUUAACUAAAUUAAAGUACAAAAUAAAAAAAUAAAGAAUUUAUUUAAUAAAUAAGCCAAAGAAAAAAAGUGGAAAUAUAAAAUCUCUAAAAGCUUAAUCAACACACAUUGAGGUGUACACUUUUAUUAAGCUUUAAUUUUUUUAGUAUGAGAUGAUGUUGUUGUGGAUAUUUAAAAAUAAUAUUAUGGAUAACUUUUUAUUUAAUGUAUUGCUUGGUUCUUUUUUCUUUUAGAUUUGUUGAAUGAUGAAUGAUGAAUUUUAUUUCUGAAGUUUUUUAUGAAUAUAUACAAUUGAUUAAUAUUUUUUAUAUUUAAAGUUUAUUUAAUUUUUUAUAUAUUAAAUAUUUUAAAGUUUUAUCAAUAAUUUUGAAAAGAUGUAUAAAAACAGGCUAGUACUAAUAUGUAUUAGUUUUUGUAGAAAAAUUAUGCGCCAUUAAUGUAGUACUAACUACCUUGGAUAAAAAAUUAGUUUGCCCUUGAAUUUGGUAACUUUUCUCAACUUAGUCCUUAAACUUUUAUUUCAUCUACAUUAGUAUUAUAACUUGACAACUUUUCUUAAUUUUGAUGCAUGUGAUGACACAACACUCUGAUAUUGUGUCAUUCUUUAAAAACAAUAUUUUUAAUAAAAAUUAGGUGUUGACAUGCCAGAAAUGUCACCAUAAUGACCAAAAAUGAGAAAUAUUGUCAAAAUUCAUGACCGAUGUAGAUAGUGGGGAAGCCAGGGGGUUGAAAGGGCCCUAAAAAAAAUGAAAAAAAUUCAUUUAGGCCCUUUUAUAAUUUAUAAAAUUUUAAAUUAGUAAUGGUAAAAUUACAUUUUGCCCCUCAAAAAUGACAAAAAAAAUUGAUUUAAUCCUUUAAAAAUGAUAAAUAUAUAUACCAUUAAAAUGGUGAAAUUACAUUGUUAUUAUCGUAAAAAUAUACAACUUAAUUUCAAAGAUUCUUUAAUUCGCCAUUUCUGAGAGUGAAGUCCGUACCCGGCAUUGGAAUGAUCAUCUCUAGGAGAUUGGUGUUGGUGGUGAUUGUUUGAUCAGUGGAAACUACUCCGCCGGGAGAUCCGACGGCGCCGCCUCCUUCCUCCGUGGAUGACAUUUUCAGGCUGAGCAACAAGGUGAUUUUGAAAACUGUUUUUGGCUGAGUGAGUGAUGUUGGAAAAAAGGUGGCAAAAUGGCUACGAUGACGACAAAUGUUUCUAUAGCUUAUAUUAUAGAAAAUACUUUCGGUGUAAUAUCAAAUUUAUCCUUUAAUAUUUAUAUUUUUUUCCAAUUUGAUUCUUAUUAUCUCUAGUUAAAUUUAGUUCUCUACGAGUCAAAUUUGAUUACCAAUCUUUUAGAAAAGAGUCAAAUUAAUAUUUUUUAACUAAAAUAGUGACUAAAAUGUUAAAUUUCUAAAAACGACAACUCACAUAGCAAUCUACAUGUACAUGUUUUUAUAUUUUUUAUUAACGUGACAUAUAAGAAAAGCAAUAUUAUGUUAGCAUCAAGUGCACAUGAAUUGCCACACAUUUAAGAUGUUAGCUUAUAGUGUCAAUUAGGCAACGCAUUUAAGAUGUGUAACAAAAUUGUUCUUUUUUUUGUAAGUUAAUCCUUUUUCUAAAUAUAAAAAAUAUUUUACUAAAUUAAUCCAUUUAAUGGUAAAUUAAUUAAUUUAAUCAAAUCCAUAUAAUAUAAAGAUCUCUCAAAUAUAUCCUCAUAAAAUUACUUUCUUUGAAAUACAGACGGAAUAAACUAGACUUAUAGUUAUAUAUAUAAUAUAUAUAAUUUUAUAAUACUAAUGAGAAUUGAACUUUGCCAAGACAUUAAGUUUGGUAUUUGAUCUUACUCUACUUUUUCUCUAGUAGGAGCCACCCUCACGACUUUACCAAAGGAUUUAGUUCCAUUGGCCGCUCUUUUUAAUAUUAAGGAUUCAGUUUUUUGAAGAAAAAUGGUGCAUCCAUUAGUGUAGUACUAACUAAUUUUUAAUAAAAAUUUGGUGUUAAUAUGGGAGAAAUGUCACCAUAAUGACCAAAAAUGAGAAAAAUUACCAAAAUUCAUGAUUAAUGUGGACAAUAGGGAAGCCAGGGGCUGGCAAGAUCCCAAAAAUGACAAAAUUUUUAUUUAGGCUCUUUUAUAAUUUAUAAAACUUUAAAUUAAUAAUGAUAAAUUUAUAUUUUGUCUCUAAAAAUGAUAAAAAUUGAUUUAAUAAUUUAAAAAAUAGAAAGAUAUAGACUAUUAAAUGGUAAAAUUAUAUUUUUAUUAUUGUAAAAAUAUACAAUUUAAUUCCACCUAAAAAAAAUAUUUUUUGCCUUGACCCCUAAAUAUGGACAAAAAAAAGAAAGUCUACAGAUCAAAUUGAAAAAAGUUACCAAAUUUAAGGAUUAAAUGUUGUCUUAUUAUUUUAUUUAACUAAAAUUGUAUCAUAUACACCAAAGUCUCGUAAUUGAAUAAUAAAAAUUCAAUAUUUUUAAAGUAAAUCUUGAAUUCAAAUACUAUGAAUAGAGAAAAAUAUUAUAAAUUAACUAAUUCAAUAUUAUGAAUUGAGUAAUAAAAAUCGAGUGCAAAACCUACGAUGCCACCAUGGUUUUAGUUUAGUCAUUUAAAAAAUUAUAAAUAUAUUAACUAAUACAAUGAUGAAAUUGGGUCUUAACUCUUAUCAAAAUUUAUAACUUAAUUUCGAUUCCUCAAAUGAAUUUUUCGACUUCACCCUUAUUUCUGCAUUAGUAAAAAUUCUAAUCUAUAUCAAUUGCACUUAUCAAAAUAUUGUACAUUGACUGGUAUAUAAAAGAUAUUUAUAUAUAUAUAUAUAUAGGUUGUAAAUUUUCUUGGCUGGAAGCUCACUGGAAGCCAAAAUCAAAACAAACUUUUGAUGGUUUAAUUGUUUUUUAGCCCUUCAAUUUCAGGUGCUAUGAGAAAUGGAUUACAACCUUAUCUUGUCAUUGUCCCAAAAUCAAAACAAGCAACUCUUGGUUGAAAGUUGAAACCAAGGGCCCCCAAGUCAAAAUUGUUUUAGGAUAAGUCCAAAAUGAAUAAUGAAUUUGAAGGUUCAAAAUAAAAUUUUAUUAAUAUAUUAAUUUAUAAUUUCAUAAAUUUUAAAAGGAUUAAAUGAUAAAUUUACUAAUUUAAGAAGACAAUAGGGAUGGUCAAAUCUAAUUGAACCUAUCUGCGAUCGGAUCGGGAUGGAUUUUUUUAAUUUAAAAAAUUAAAUAGAUUUAUUCGAGAGUUACAAAAUUCUGAUAAAUAACAAGAGUUUACAAAAAGUACACUUACUUUGGUUGAUGUAUGGUCUAAUAAGCCUGCAAGCAGCAAUGGCACCCACAAAUGCGAAAAACGUCCAACGAGUCCUAAAAAAAGGACGGUAAACUUGAGCUGGAUAUCUAAUCCACAUAUUGUUAUGAUGAUCAUGUAUUUGCAGUUUAACAUGCCUGUAAAUCAUCGGGCUAGGAACCUAAUCAAUAUUCAUCUUCUUGAUAAGCUUAGCCACUUCUUUAUCACUCCCAAAUCUAUUGUAUAGUAUGCCGGCGUCUCUCAGUUCCUUAACAUCUUCGGCUUCAUCGAUCAAUGAAUCAAGGAAACCCAUAUAUGAAGUGACGGCGAAAUUGUUGUGGAAAUCUGGACACAUUUCGUAAGCUAUUAAGUUCAUGGUUGAAUCAUCGACGGUGAUCGGCGGUAACCGUAAUUUCCGGACGAAGAAGUAGCGACGUUUGAAACUGAUGUCGGUUAAACAACUUGUUUCACUUGCUUCUAACCAUAUCCCGGCGCUUUUAAGCUCUUUUACGUUACCAAAAGGGUGUGAAUGGUGCCGUUUUGUUCUUGUAUGGCCACUGCGAUUUGUGAAGGAUAUGAAAACCUACAAUCACCUGGUUUUUCUUUAUUGAAAAGGAGUCUUACUCGUAGUAGAUGCAAUAAGUGAAUUCCCUCUCCUUGCUGCGGCCACCAUUCACUAGUGCAAAAUAUGUGUUAGUCGGGAGCCAGCUAAAAUUAAGGUUUUCAAUGGUUGAAUCAAAUCAUUAUUAUUUUAAUAAAAAAUAUUUAAAUUAUUAAAUUAUAAAUUUAUAUACAAUAAAACUAUACUUUGACUCCUCAAGAUGAAUAAAAAAUUGUUCAAACACUUUUUAAAAAUAAUAAAAUCAUAAAUUAAUACAUAAAAAAAAUCUAAGAAUCAAACCAUACUUGUCGAUCGGCCUAAUUAGACAGAGGAUCGAGCAAGGUACUAAUCCAGAAUAAUAAGUUUAAUCCAUUGAAUUCAAUCAUCAAAUCGAUUUUUUUUUAUAUUUUUAAUAUACCUUUAAUAUUUUUUAAUAUUUUAUAUAAUUGAAUUGAAUCAACUAAUCAACCGAAAAUGAGACUCUAAUCGAUUCUAUCACCUAUAUAUGUAGUUGUAAAAUCCUUUUAACAUUUAUAAAUGAUUCUUUUAUAAAUUCCUUAAAUUACCUGUCCUGCUGAUGUGAUUGUGGCUCUUUAACAGUACCGUCGAUGAACCUUAUGACUGCCUCCAUGAAUUUUGUGCCAUCGUUCGAUCUUGUAAGCAAUUCAAGAACACGAAAAGGUAAUUGGUUUUCCAACAAGAACAGAACCGAGUACACAAAUGUUAGCAAUUCGUUUUUAAUAAAAAUUCGUUCGACGUACGACAACAAUCUUGGCCGUAAAGCAUAUAAACUGCUUGUAAAAUUGCGCAGCCGUCAACGAAGAACAUCCAAGCCAGUUUCACGUUAUCGUUGCUACACUUCUUUAAUCCCUUUGGAUCAUAGCAUUUCUUCAAGCCAUCGAUCUCUGUCUUCAUGUUGUUGUACAAGGUUUCCUUAUCGACGCCAAUUUUUUUGACGAAAAGUGCUGCUAAUUUGAGCUUGAGCUUCUUGGAUUUAUGGAGGGUGGAAUCAUUGUGGUGGAGUGGGCCGAUUGAGAUCACUUUCGGCUUGAAAUACUUCCUGAAAUCUUCGUGACGUCCAAGGGAUGAUGGGACUCUUUGUAUCAAUGGUUUGGCAUGGAGGUCGAGUUCGUCGCCGUCGAAAGCUACGUCUAAUGACCGGAGAUUCCGUAAUUCGCUAUUGCUGCGAGUGAAGUUCUCUAGGGGAUUGUUGUUGUUGUCGAUGAUUGCUUGAUCAGUGGAAACUGCUCCCACGGCGCCGCCUCCUUCCUCCGUGGAGGACAUUUUCAGGCUGAGCGGUUGGAGGUAAUAAACAAGGUGAUUUUGUAAACUGUUUUAGGCUGAGUGAGUGAUGUUGGAGAAAAGGUGGCAACAUGGCUACGAUGAUGACAAAUAUUUUAUAGCUUACAUAAUAAACAUAUAUGGGAAAUACUUAAGGCGUUAGUGUUUAUAUUUUUACUAAUAUAAUUUUAAUUUUUUAAUUAAAUUUAAUUCUCUUUUGAAAGAGUUAAUGAUAAAAAAGAAAAGUUAAAUUAAUGCUUUUUAACAAAAAUAGUGACAAAUAUUAAAAUUGAGAACAACAUUAUAGAACCUAAAUACUCAACACAACCCAAAACUUUCGCCUUAACCAAGAAAUUAAAAUCCUAUCUGAGGGAGAAUUUUAUAUCUGUAGCACUUCCUAAAUUUCAUUAGCUUAAUAAUAGCUAUUCAAAUAUAUUUUUUUCAUUUUAUUACUUAAAAAUUAUUAUUACUUACUUAAAUAUUUAAAUUAUCAUUAUAUUACAUGAUUUACUCCAAAUAUUUACAUAUAGUAAUUGCGUUUGUAAUUCUACCUAACUCAUGAAAAAUCUCAAAUUUGCAACAUGUUAUUCACAUGCCAACCAAAUCUACAAUUUCACCUUGUAAACUGUUUUUGGCCGAUUUGAGUGAUGUUGGAAAAAAAGUGGCAAAUUUCAUCUCUUAUUUUAUUUUGUGUGGUACUUGUAGAUCAGAGUGUUGAUUAUAUCACGAGUAUUCUGUGACAGAACACCUACGUGGAGGACAACGAUUCGACACUUACUGUCAUAUUUGUGUCGCCUGGAAUUUAAUUCUCAAUGGGCAGUUUUUUUUAUAAAAUAACUUGAAAUUUUUUAUUAAUUAUAAAAAUGAUAUUUUGUUUAUGUAAACAAUAAAUAGUAAAAAUGAAUGGAUUUAAAGAGAUUGGCGUGACCUUUUUAUCACGUUAACUAAUCAUUAACUAUUAAAAUUAAAAUUUUAUUUUUUUAAUGAACCUAUUUCGCGUCACAUGUGGUAGAAAAUAAUCUAAGAAAGGCAUGCACUAAUCAAUUGUUUUAAGUAUUAAUAUUUACGGAUAAAGUAAUAUUUAAUUAUCUGAAUAUUUUAUAUUAGGGACCAAGUUAUAAAAAGUUUAGAAGUUGAAGUUGAAUUAUGUAUUUUUAUACAAGUUAAAAUACAAUUUAAUCAUAUUAGUUUGUAAUUUUACAUAUUUUAAAGGGAUUAGAUUAAAAUUUUAUCAUUUUGAAGGCUGAGAUGCAAUUUUACUUUAUGUAUUAACAUGUGGAAUUAUAAUUUUUAAAGGCACCCAAAACAUAAAUUUUUCCUAGAAAAAUUACUCAAUAAGCUAUGGAAUUAAUUUUUCCUUGGCUACAUGUAACAACAUUUCUGUUAAAUAAAAGCAACUUUAAUCUGCACCAAAGGGAAGCAACAGAGAUCUAUUGUGACAACUAAUCUACGGUUGCAAUUGUAAAGAAUCCAGUGUUCUAUAGGAAGACAAAACUCUUCAAGAUUAAGUUCCAUUUUGUUAGGGAGAUGGAGCAAGCUCGAGAAGUAGAGCUGAUUCAUUGCAAUUCGAAAGAACAAUUGGCAAACAUCUUGACAAAGCCACUUAGUGUGUCAAGGUUCGACAAAUUAAGACAGCAAAUGGGAGUUUGCAGCAUGGAAGCCAAGGAGGAGUGUUGAAGUUGGCCUCCAUACAGCUCAUGCAGCAAGGAGCAGCAUAUGCAGUCGAGCCAAGCUUGCAGCAGCUGAAGCACGAUGCUACUGUUAAGUUUCAUUUUCAUUUUGUUACUCUAAUGAUCAUUUUUGAAUCAAAUUAGAUUUGAACUUAGUUGGUAACUCCUUCUUGAUGUAAUUAGGUGUUGAUUGACUGAAAAUUCAGCAAAGCAACAUGUACAAGUUAAUUUAGCAAGUUUCAAUGUAAUUUAGUGGUGUUAGGCAGUUGCUUAGGUGAAAACUUGUUUGUAUUGACCAGCUUGUCUGGUAUAUGUAAUGGCUUAAUGCCUUUGUUCAUGUUAGUUAAUGAAAAUCAAUUAGUUUUCAUCCAGCUACUCUCCAUUUUUCUUUGCUUUCAAUUCGGUUAUGUUCUUAAGCAAAUUUCUGCUUUGUUUCUUCUCUAAGUCACGAGUCUUGCUGUUCAAGUCAUAGCUGAACUAGCUUGCUUGUUGUUCAUAAUACCAACAACCUGCUCUCGGCUGGGUUGAUAACAGUAUCAUCGAUGAACCUCCGGAUUGCAUUCAUGAACAUUUUGCCAUCACCCAAGCUUGUAAGCAAUUCAAGAACACGAAAAGGUAAUAGGUUUUCCAACAAGAACAGAUCCGAGUACAGAAAUGUCAGCAAAUCUUUUUUAGUUAACAAAUUACCAUCAUCAUCAUCAUUAUCAUAACGCAUGUAAACUGCUUGUAAAACUGCGCAGCCGUCAACGAUGAACAUCCAAGCCAGUUCCUCGUUAUCGUCUCUAUACUUCUCUAAUUCCUGUGGAUCAUAGCAUUCCUUCAAGCCAUCCAUCUCUUUCUUAAUUUUGCUGUACAAGGAUUUCUUAUCGACGCCAAUUUUUUUGACGAAAUGUGCUGCUAAUUUGAGCUUGAGCCCCUUGGAUUCACGGAGGGUGAGAUCAUCGUGGUGGAGUGGGCCGAUUGAGAUCACUUUUGGCUUGAAAUACUUCUUGAAAUCUUCGUUACGGAGAAGGGUUGAUGGGACUUUUCAUAUUAAUGGUUUGUAUCUGAGGGUGGGUUGGCCGCCGCCGAAAGCUUUGUCUAAUGACUGGAGCUUCGCUACUUCGCCAUCGCUGAGAGGGACGUCCGUGAACCGCAAAUCAAUUCCCACGUAAUCGUUGUUGGUGUUGUUGUCGAUGAUUGUUUGAUCAGUGGAAACUGCUCCGGCGGCGCCGCCUCCUUCCUCCGUGGACGACAUUUUCAGGCUGACCGGCUCGAAGUAAUUAACAAGGUGAUUUUGAAAACUGGUUUUGGCUGAUUGAGUGAUGUUGGAAAAAAGUGGCAAAAUGGCUACGAUAAUGACAAAUGUUUCUAUAGCUUACAUAAAGAGGCGAAUAUAGGGAAAUGUAAAAUUGUUAUUUAGGCCCUUAACUUUUUUAAAAUUUCAAAUUAGUAAAGGUAAAAUUAUACUUUGGCCUCAUAAAAUUAUAAAAAUUCAAUUUAAUCUUUUAAAAAUUAUAAAGAUAUAGACUACAAAAAAUUAAAAUUUCAUUCGAUCCACCCUAAAAAAUUAUUCGGGCUUUGCCACUGCUUACAUAAUAAACAUAUGGAAAAUACUUUUGGUGUAAUUCAAAUUUACCCCUUAUUAUAGUCAAUUUAAUUUUCAUUUUUUAAAUUUAAUUUUCUAUCUUUUGGAAGAGUCGAAUUUAAUUAUCAAUUUAAAUUAAUGUUUUUUAACGAAAAUAGUGACUAAAAUAUUAAAAUGUUAAACAUGACAACUCAAACAGCAAUCCACAUCUAUAUUUUUAUUUUUAUUUUUUAUUUUUAAAUUAUUUAUUGAUGUGACAUAUAAUAAAAGUAUUGUUAUGUUAGCAUGAAGUACGCAUGAAUUGCCACACUAGUUGUGACACCAAUAUCGUUAAAAAAUUAAUAUUUCAAUUAGCAUAUCUGUUAAAGAAAACCAAAUUGACUCUUUUUUAAGAGGUUAAUGGCUAAAUUUAGCACAAAUGAAAAAAAAAUAAAGGCCAAUUUGAUAAUAAAAAAAAAGGUAAAUGUCAAAAGUUAAGUUUAUCAUUUAUACAAGUAUAAAUAUAUGUCUGGAUUAAUCUAGAAAGAACCAGACCAACUCUACACGUGAUAUACAAAUGUGACGAGAGUGAAAUCUACACAUCACAAUUGAGAAUAAUAUUAUAGAAAUACUCAAACCUUCCCCUUAACCAAGAAGGUAAGACGCUAUGGAUAAUUUUAUAUCUACAACACUUCAUGAAUUUUGUUGCGGAAAGGAUCGAUUCGAGAACUCCGAUAUGACUACAAGUAAAUUGACCGAAACGAAAAAUAAAGUGAACACAAGGAUUUACGUGGUUCGGCUUUAAUGCCUACGUCCACGGGCAGAGGCGAAAAGAAAUUUCACUAUAACAAGAUGAAGAUUACAAGUGUUUUACACUCAAGACACAACCCGAGAACCUCACAACUCUCAACCCCUAUAGAAAACCCGAAAGCUAAAAUCCUAGCUUUCAAAGAACAAGCUUUGCUCUCUCUUUGUUUGGGAUGAUCAAUAUGGCUAAUGAACCUCUCUAUUUAUAAGAGAGUUCAAGGACAUAAUUGUCCAAAACUUUGGCAAAGAUUUGUGGUUGAAAAUGGACACCAACAACCAUCCACUAAUCCACUACCACCAACAACCCACUACCAACAACAACAAUCCACUACCAAUUUUAAGCCAUUUCUUAACAAAUCUCCACCUUGGCUUGAAAUUUACCAAGCUGAACAUCAUAGUGAAUUCCUCGAACUGGAUCACCUCUUCCAAACGCCUCUCUGGCGCUAAUCAAUCCUGAAUACCUAUCAAGUCCAAGCAAUGCUUGAACUUAUAUGCAGGGAUCACCUUAGUUAACAUAUCUGCAGGAUUCUUCUCGGUAGCAACCUUGCUGAUAACAAUGUCACCUUGCGUAACAUGUUCCCGAACAAAAUGAUAUCUGACAUCAAUGUGUUUGGUCCGUUCAUGAAACAUCUGAUUUUUAGUCAGAUGUAUGGCACUCUGGCUAUCGCAAAAUACAACAGUGAAAUCCUGUUGUAAACCCAAACUGCUUACUAGACCUUUCAUCCACAAUGCUUCUUUCACUGCUUCUGCUAACGCCAUAUAUUCCGCCUCAGUCGUAGAUAAGGCUACGGUAGACUGUAACACAGCUUUCCAACUAAUGGCUCCUCCAGAAUAAGUGAAAACAUAACCCGUCAGAGAUCUUCUUUUGUCCAGAUCUCCAGCAUAAUCAGAGUCCACAUAGCCCGUGACACUGCUAGUGCAGUCACUCUGAUCAUAUACCAAGCAUAAAUCUGCAGAACCUCUCAAGUACCUGAGAAUCCAUUUCACGGCCUGCCAGUGUUCCUUGCCAGGACAACUCAUGUAUCUGCUGACCACACUAACUGCAUGUGAAAUGUCUGGACGAGUGCAAACCAUUGCAUACAUCACGCUUCCAACUGCACUCGAGUAUGGAAUGUGAGACAUUUGCUGCUUUUCUUCAUCAGAUUGUGGUGACAACUCUGCAGAGAGUUUGAAAUGUGGUGCCAACGGAGUACUCACAGUUUUCGCUUUAUCCAUGCCGAAGCGUUGAAGAACCUUUUCAAUGUAGUUCUUCUGCGACACACGAAGCUUGCCCGCCUUGCGAUCUCUGUGAAUAUCCAUGCCCAAAAUUUUCUUGGCAGCACCCAGAUCCUUCAUCUCGAACUCACCACUCAACUGCGACUUUAACUUGUUGAUUUCCGACAUGUUUUUGGAAGCAAUUAACAUGUCAUCAACAUACAGCAACAAAUAAAUGUGCGAACCAUCUGAGAGCUUCCGAUGAUAGACACAAGCAUCAUAGUCACAUCUUGUGUAACCAUGCUGAAUCAUGAAGCUAUCAAACCGCUUGUACCACUGCCUUGGGGAUUGUUUCAAUCCAUAUAAAGACUUCUUUAAUAGACAGACAUGGUCUUCUUUACCAGGAACUGUAAAACCCUCUGGUUGACGCAUGUAGAUUGUUUCCUCGAGCUCACCAUGCAAGAACGCCGUUUUUACGUCAAGCUGCUCAAGUUCUAGAUCAGACUUGGCCACCAUGGCAAGUAAUACACGAAUGGAAGAAUGCUUUACGACUGGGGAGAAAACUUCAUUGUAGUCAAUCCCCUCUUUCUGAGUGAAGCCUUUAGCAACCAAUCGUGCCUUGAAUCUAGUUGCUUCAACCCCUAGGAUGCCUUCCUUUUUCUUGAAGACCCAUUUGCAACCAACUAUCUUCUGGUUACUUGGCGGCUUAACCAACUCCCAAGUAUGGUUCUUGUGAAGAGAUUCUAUCUCCUCACUCAUAGCAAUUGCCCACUGUGCCGACUCAUCACACGUGACAGCCUCAUUAUAACUGGAAGGUUCUAUACCAAUGGACUCCGCCACACUGAGCGCGAAAGACACCAGAUUAGCGUAACGCGGAUUUGGUUUGAUUUGUCUCUUCGUUCUUCCAGUGGCAAUGCUAUAUGGUUUUUCUUGAGGUGACUCAUCUUCAUCGGAAUCUUGCACCUCAACUUGAUCAUCCUGGACUGAAGUACCUUCCGUAGGAAUUGGAGCGUCCACCUGACACUCCACCUGCUUCUCAACACCGUGAUCUCCCAUUCUAUCUGACUCCUCCUUUUCCCGGGAAUUUGUGGUGGAUCGAAGCAUGGAUGACUCAUCAAAAGUCACAUCUCUGCUGAUGAUGAACUUGGACGAAACCGGAUCAGGACACCACAACCUGUAUCCUUUCACCCCUUGGCCGUAUCCAAGAAAUAUGCAUUUCUUCGCCCUCGGUUUGAGUUUUCCCUCAUUUACAUGAGCAUACGCAGGGCAGCCAAACACUCUUAAACCAGAGUAAUCAGCAGGAGAACCAGACCAUACUUCCUCAGGAGUCUUCAGCUCAAUAGCUGUUGACGGAGAUCUGUUAACCAAAUAACAAGCAGUAUUAACAGCUUCAGCCCAAAAUUCUUCACCGAGCCCAGCAUUUGAUCGCAUGCAACGAGCUCGCUCCAAGAGAGUUCUAUUCAUGCGUUCUGCAACUCCAUUUUGUUGUGGUGUUCGACGAACAGUGCGGUGUCUCACUAUUCCUUCAUUUUUGCAGAACUCAUUGAAUUCACCUGAGCAAAACUCCAAGCCAUUAUCCGUCCGGAAUCGCUUGAUCUUCUUUCCUGUUUGAUUUUCGAUCAAAGCUUUAAAUUGCUUGAAGUUGAUGAGAACCUCAUACUUGCUCUUCAGAAAAUACACCCAAACCUUUCUCGAGUAAUCAUCGAUAAAGGUAAGCAGAUAUCUGUAACCACCUUUAGAAAUUGUCGGAGAAGGCCCCCAAAGGUCAGAAUGGAAGUAAUCCACUGUGCCUUUUGUCUUGUGAAUCCCAGUGCUGAACUUUACCCGAGUCUGCUUACCGAAGACGCAGUGCUCACAGAAAUUCAACUUUCCUGUACACUGCCCAGACAAUAAUCCUCGUUUGCUUAGCACCGAUAAGCCUCUCUCGCUCAUAUGCCCGAGCCGCAUAUGCCAUAACUUCGUGGUGUCAGAAUCUAGAUCAUCUGAUGAUGACACUCCCGCAACACCUGUAACCGAGGAACCAUCGAGGAAGUAAAGGCCCCGCUCCAAAUUACCACGUAUCACAGUCAAAGCACCCGAGAAUACCUUGAGAACUCCACCUUCAGCAGAGUACCGAAAGCCUUUCUUGUCCAACGUACUCAAAGAGAUCAAAUUUUUCUUCAUUUCUGGAAUGUGCCGAACAUCAGUUAGAGUUCUAACAAUACCGUCAAACAUCUUUAUACGAACUGUGCCAAUCCCCAUGACUUGACAUGCGUGGUCAUUUCCCAUUAGUACUGAACCAGAAUGCUUCUCGUAUGUUGAGAAUGCAUCUUUCGAAGUACUUAUAUGAAAUGUAGCUCCCGUAUCAAGAAUCCAUCUCCCACCAGCGUAAGAGUCGGAUACUGCAAGAACGAUCUCGGCACCACUUGAAGAAUCUGCAUCAGCUACAUUCGCACGAUCAUUUUGUUGCUCCUGUGAUUCUGAUUUCUCCUUCCUUUUCGGACAAUCUACCUUCAUGUGCCCGUACUUCUUACAGUAGUAGCACUGUAUUCUCUUCUUGGACUGCGAUCUAGGAUGGCUUUUACUUGAACUUCCACCCUUUGCCUUGGAUCUUCCUCGAGCAACCAAGCCUUCGCCUUCAUUGUUUUCGACCACCUUACCAGUGAUUUUCUUCCUCAACUCACUGGAACUUAAGGCAUUUUUCACCUCCUCUAGAGUCAGGUCAUCACGACCGUACAUCAUUGUAUCAACAAAAUUCUCAUACGAGGGAGGCAAAGAACACAAAACAAUUAUUGCUUGGUCCUCAUCAUCGAUUUUGUUAUCGAUAUUAUUCAAAUCCAUGAUAAUGGAAUUGAAUUUAUCCAGGUGCUGGGAAACAGGUGUACCUUCCUCCAUCUUCAGGGCAUAGAGUCUUUGCUUGAGGUAGAGCCGGUUCGUCAAUGACUUCGUCAUGUACUUGCUCUCUAACCGGAGCCACAAACCGGACGCGGUUUUCUCAUCCGCUACUUCUCGUAGCACUUCAUCUCCUAGACAUAGCAGAAUAGCACUAUGUGCUCUUUCUAGCAUGUCAUCCUUUUGCUCUUCCGAAAGCGUGCUUGGUAAUUUAUCUUUACCAGACAAUGCUUUUAGCAAUCCUUGUUGAACCAGCACUGCCCGCAUCUUGAUGCGCCAUAAACUGAAACUAUUUUUCCCGGUAAAUUUCUCGACAUCAUACUUAGUCGAUGAAACACUUGUAGCCAUAAUUUGGAACCUUUGAAUGAAUGAUAAUAUUUUCUUCCUGAUGUGAAAGAUCAGACAAAGCUGCAGUCACAGGGCAAUUCAGAAAAUAUUAUCACUCCUUCAACUACGCUCUGAUACCAAUUUGUUGCGGAAAGGAUCGAUUCGAGAACUCCGAUAUGACUACAAGUAAAUUGACCGAAACGAAAAAUAAAGUGAACACAAGGAUUUACGUGGUUCGGCUUUAAUGCCUACGUCCACGGGCAGAGGCGAAAAGAAAUUUCACUAUAACAAGAUGAAGAUUACAAGUGUUUUACACUCAAGACACAACCCGAGAACCUCACAACUCUCAACCCCUAUAGAAAACCCGAAAGCUAAAAUCCUAGCUUUCAAAGAACAAGCUUUGCUCUCUCUUUGUUUGGGAUGAUCAAUAUGGCUAAUGAACCUCUCUAUUUAUAAGAGAGUUCAAGGACAUAAUUGUCCAAAACUUUGGCAAAGAUUUGUGGUUGAAAAUGGACACCAACAACCAUCCACUAAUCCACUACCACCAACAACCCACUACCAACAACAACAAUCCACUACCAAUUUUAAGCCAUUUCUUAACAAAUUUCAUAUGCUUAAUAAUAGUUUACAAAAAGACUAGUAAAGAACACUUACUUUGGUUGAUGUAUGGUAUAAUAAGUCUGCAAAGCACUAAGAAGAAGUGCAGCAAUGGCACCCAAAAAUGCCAAAAACGUCCAAGGACUCCUAAAAUAAGUAUGAUAACCUUGAGCUGCAUGAUUAAUCCACAUAUUCUUACAAUGAUUAUGUAUUUUCUCUUUAACCCCACUGUAAAUCAUCGGACUAGGAACCAAAUCAGUGUUCAUCUUAUUGAAAAGCUUAGCCACCUCUUCAUCACUCCCCAAUCUAUUGUACAGUAUGCCGGCGUCUCUCAGGUCUUUAACAUCUUCGGCUUCAUCGAUCAAUAAAUCAAGGAAACACAUAUAAGAAGUGACGGUGAAAUCGUUGUCGAAAUCCGGACACAUUUCGUAAGCUAUUAAGUUUAUGGUUGAAUCAUCAACCGUGAUCGGCGGUAACCGUAAUUUUCCGGAGAAGAAGAUAUGGUUGAAACUGAUGUCGGUUAAACAACUUGUUUCGCUUGCUUUUAACGUUAUCCCGGCCUUUUUAAGCUCUUUUACGGUACCAAUGGUGCGUGAAUGGUACCGUUUUGUUGUUUUUGUUCUUGCUGCUGCUUCGCCAAAUCCGCGUUGAGCGAAUUCCCAAAGAAAACACCAGCACCGUAUUCGCACUUUUCUGAGAAGGAGUCUUUGUCGUAGUAGAUGCAAUAAGUGAAUUCGCUCUCCUUCUUUUUGCUGCUUCCACCACCAUUCCCUACACCAAAAUCUGUGUUAGUCGGAAGCCAAGCUAUAAUUUCUCUUUUCUUUUUUUUUUCUUUUUGUUGUUGGAUUUGGAAUUGUUAAUUUAUAUGAAGCUAAAAUUAAGAUUUUCAAAAUAGAUAACCCAACGAUUAAGUUAUUCAAUUUAUUUAAUUUAAUUGAAUAAAUUAAUGGAAUUGUUAAUUUACCGAUUUACUCCUUUAUUUGUCAUUUUUUGUAUCAUUUUUUUACAUUUUUUUAACUAUUAAUAGAAGAAAAUAAAAAGAGAAAAAGAAAAAGGAAAACUCACCGGGGCGUGGCUUCGAACGCCCAUUCUGGCGCUUCGUCGGCCGUCGGAUGCGGCGGCGUUGCGGCGAGCAGGGAGGCGGCGCAACAUGGGGCCUUAAAACCCCAAGAAUCAGAUUUUUAGAGAGAAAAAAAGGAGCUUUUUAGUUUUUUUUUAAAUAGUGGCUGAUAAGGGAUUUUUGGGGAAAAAAGGGGUUUAAAUACCUCAAACAAAAUGGCGCCGAUUAGUUAUUAGGGUCAAGAGCCAAAAUGACGCCAUUUUGGCCCUGACCCGCGCGGUGACCCGACCCUGGGGAAGGAUCCGCAUGUUUUCUUCAAAUGGGAUAUUUGCGUGCGCAGUCCCUACUAUUUUGCAGCGCAUUACAAUCUGGUCCUAUUUCGUUAUUUUCUUUUAUUUUGAUUUAGCCCUAAAAUUUUACUUUUGUUUCACUUUGGUCCACUGCAGCGUUGCGUUUUGGGGUCCUUGGUUUAUUUACCAUUUUGGUCCCCCCUCUUUCGGCGCGUGUCACAAUCUAGUCCUUUUUGUUUUUUUUCAUUUCGAAUUUGCCCAGUAUAUUAGUUUUUACUUCGAUUUAGUCCCUCUUUUAGUACUUUUAUUUUAUUUUUAUUUUUUCAUUAUUUUAAUGUUAUUAUCUUUUGUUACUAUUAUUAUUAUUAUUAUUAUUAUUAUGAUUAUUAUUAGUCCCUCAUUUAUAUAUAUAUUUAUAAUUUCCAAUUUUUCUACAUAUAUACAUGUGCGUGCAUACAUUUUCAUAUAUAUGUAUUUAUAAUUUAUCUAUUUAUAUAAAUAUACAUACUUAUAUAUAUAUAUAUAUUUUAUAAUCUAUAAUUUAUAUAUAUAUAUUUUAUAUACCUAUACGCGUAUAUUCACGCUUACAUAAAACUUUUAUAUUUAAUAAUUUUAAAUAUAUAUAUAUAUAUAUAUCCUUCAUAUUUUCAUAACUUACACAUAUUUUCUGUUUAUUAUAUACAUAUUUUUAUGUUUCACAUUUAUUUUUUAUAUUUUAGGUACAUAUAAUAUAUAUUCAUAUAUUUUAAUUCAUAUACACAUAUAUGUGUACAUAUAUAUAUAUACCCUUUUUACAUAUACAUGUUUUUUUUUUAAUUUUAAUUUUAAUUUUUAUAAGUAUAUAUAUUUAUAUGUAAGUACUUAUAUAUUUUGUAUAUUUUAAUUUGCAUAAACAUAUAUACACAUAUUUUCAAAAUAUUUUUAAACACAUACAUAAAUUAACAUAUUUAUUUGUAUAUAUAUAUGUAUAUUUUUAUUAUUUUUUAGACUUUAAUAUGUACAUACAUAUGUAUAUAGAUAAUUUUGUAACUUAUUUAUAUUUGUAUGUGUAUAUAUAUAAUUAUAUUUUUCUUAUAUAUUUUUAAUUAGCAUACAUAUCUAUAUGUAUUUUAUUUUCAUAAAUAUAUGUAUAUAUACUUACAUGUUCUUUAUAUCCUCAAAUAUGUAUGUUUUCUAUACUUUAUGAUUUAUGUUUAUACCUAUAUAUAUAUGUAUUUUAAUUUAGGUGCAUAUGCAUUUCUUUACAUAUAUAUUUUUUAAGUUUUAUAAUUCAUACAUGUACAUAUAUAUAUUUUUUAUCUAGCUUAAAACCAUUUAUAUAUAUCUAUAUGCAUUUUUAUAAAUACAUGUAUAUAAAAACAUACUUUUAUACAUCUUUUAUAAUAUAUAUAUACUGCAUUUGUGUAUGUAUUUGCUUGUUUUCAUGUUUAUUUACAAUAAUUUUAGAAUGUAUUCAUAUAUAUAUAUAUAUAUAUAUAUAUAUAUAUAUAUCUUUUUACAUUUACAUCAUCUUAUUUAUUUCUUUUGGUUUAUUUCUGUAUUUAUAUUCAUAUUAUUUACAAUGAAUGCUUUAAUAUCUUUGUUUGUAUGUUUACCAUGGUGUAUUAUAUUAGUUUGUCUUAUUAUUUAUUUCAUAGCCUUUGUUUUCAUUAUUUCACUUGCAUUAUCAUCUUUAUCAUUAUUUUUUUACAUCCAUUUUCACUAGGAUUUAUCAAAAAUGGAAAAUUUUAAAAUAAAAGUAACAUUCGGCAUUUGAGAUCUUCGAGAGAAUCGAGUUUUUUUUGUUGAAUCUAAAUAAUCGAAGUUACUCCUUUUUUGAAAGACAUAAAACUUAUUAUCGAGAAUUCAAUGCGUCGUGUCCUGAUGUAUUGAACACGAUACGUUGAUUUCUCGAGACGAGGAUUUUUCAAAAUAAAUGCAAUAUUCAAUGUUUAACAUUUGAAGAAAUUGUAUCCUAACGUAUUGGGUUGCAAUUUUUUUAUAUGACUUAAACAAUCGAACACCCUUUUAAACUUUUUUAUGCGAGUUUAGACUAGUUCAUUUCUAAAGAGGUAAAAUAUCGUACCCUAACGCAUUAGGUGUGACAUUUUCUCUUUCUGAAAUGAAAAAGUCUUAAUGAGUAGUUCGAUUUUUAUAAGUUUUCUUUCAAAAUAAGGAUCGUAUUUUAAAAUUCUUCAAAGUUUUCAAUUCUCGACAUAAAGACAUUAACUAAUCAACUAGGUACCAAUUUUGGGCGUUACGAGGGUGUUAAUCCUUCCUCGUAGUAACUGACUCCCGAACCCAUUUUCUAAAUUUCGUGGACCAAAAUCGUUGUUUUAAUAAAAUUAAACCAUUUAUUAAAAACCACCACUUUACGAGGUGAUCUAAUCACACCUCAUCAAAAAGAUUGGUGGCGACUCCCAUCUUUUUUAUUUUCGUUUUCAAAAUCCAAGUUGACCCCGUUUUCAUCAAAAAAAAUGGUGUCAACAUGAAUGAUCGUCUCUAGGGGAUUGUUGUUGUUGUUGUUGGUGGUGGUGGUGGUGAUGAUUGUCUGAUCAGUGGAAAUUGCUAUGCCGGGAGCUCUGACGGCGCCGCCUCCUUCUUCAGUGGACGACAUUUUCAGGCUGAGCAAUUCGAAGUAAUUAACAAGCUGAUUUUGUGAACUGUUUUUGGCUGAGUGAUGUUGGAAAAAGGUACGAUUACGACAAAUGUUUCUAUAGCUUAUAUAAUAAACACAUGGAAAAUAUUUUUGUUAUAAUAUCAAUUUCAGCCCUUAAUAUUUAUAUUCUUGUCAAUUCUUAUUCUUUUUAGUUGAAUUUAACUCUCUAUCUUUUGAAAGUGUCAAAUUUUACUACGAAUCUUUUAGAAAAGAGUUGAAUUAAUAUUUUUAACAAAAAUAGUGAUUAAAAUAUUAAAUUUUAAACUUGACAACUCAUAUGACAAUCUACAUAUAGAUGUUUUCUUAUUUUAAAAUUAUUUGUUGACGUGGUAUAUAAGAAAAGCCAUGUUAUGCUAGCAUGAAAUGCAUAUAGAUUGUCACACAAGUUGUAGCACGAGCACCAUUAAAAAGUUAAUGUUUUACUCAAUAUUUCUGUUAAAGAAAAGCAAUUUGACUCUUUUUUGAAAGGUUAAUGACUAAAUUUAACUCAAAAUAAUAAUAAUAAUAAUAAUAAUAAUAAUAAUAAAGAAUAAAAACUAAUUUGACAAAAAAAGUAAAUGUCGAGGGCUAAUUUAAUGAUUAUAUUUUUUUUAAAGUUCCACUUAUAUAAAUACAAUAUAGGUUAAGGUAUUUGGGAGGUCGUUAUAUUAUGAGGAUUGGAUCAAAUUAAUCUCUCUAUUAUUAAAUAGAUCAAUUUAGUUUCUAUACUCUUAAAAGAGAAUCAAAUAAUUCCAAAGUGCAAUAAAGUUAACAUUUACUAUAUCUUUACUCAGUAAUUACUAGUAAUUUUAGUACUCGUCUAUAUGAUAUCUUUACUCACCAUAGCUAUACUAUUUAUCGAUAGAUGCAUUUGUCUUUGUCGUAUUUUUAGUUAAUUUCGUGAUACAAUCAUUGAUCUUACUUUUCUUUUUCUCUAAUAGGAGCAACUCUUAUGACUUUAUCACCGAAUUUUGUUCCAUUGGUUGCUCCAACACACCCUUUGUUUAAUGAGAUAAAAUUAAUAUAGUCGAUUUUUUUAUUUUUUGCACAAAGACGGAAGGAAGGGGAAAACACGGUCUUGACUCCUCUAAAAUUGAAAUUUUUGUUUUUUUACCCUUUAAAUGUAUAGAAUUAUAAAUUAUAAUGGUAAAAUUGUACUCUUCCCCCUCCUAAAAAUAACAAGGCUUUAAUUUAGUCUUUUAAAAAAUUAUAAAAAUAUUAGCUAAUAUAGUGAUUAAAUUGCAUUUUAAUUCUUAUCAAAAUUUAUAAAUUAAUUCUGAUCCCUCAAACAAAUUUCUAACGUCACCCUUAUUUUCAUAUUAGUAGAAAUUCUAAUCCGGUAUAUAUAUAUAUAUAUAUAUAUAAUAUUUCUUUUACCAACUUUAAACUUUAACUAGUUAAAGUAGAAAAAAAAUUAUUUAACAAAUAAUCCAAAGAUUGUUUAAGAACAUAAAAGGGAUGCAACUUAUCUACGUUCGGAUCGGGAUGGAUUCUUUUUUAUUUUUUUAAAAAAAAUUCUCCUAAACAAAUUAAAUCGAUUAAUCUAAAAUCCAGAAGUUACAAAAUUCUCAUAAAUAACAAGAGUUUACAAAAAGACAAGUAAAGAACACUUACUUCGGUUGAUGUAUGGUAUAAUAAGCCUGCAAAGCACUAAGAGUAAGUGAAGCAAUGGCACCCAAAAAUGCCAAUAACGUCCAAGGACUCCUAAAAUAAGUAUGAUAGCCUUGAGCUGCAUGAUUAAUCCACAUAUUCUUACAAUGAUUAUGUAUUUUCUCUUUAACCCCACUGUAAAUCGUCGGACUAGGAACCAAAUCAGUGUUCAUCUUAUUGAAAAGUUUAGCCACCACUUCAUCACUCCCCAAUCUAUUGUAUAGUAUGCCGGCGUCUCUCAGGUCUUUAACAUCUUCGGCUUCAUCGAUCAAUAAAUCAAGGAAACACAUAUAAGAAGUGACGGUGAAAUUGUUCUCGAAAUCCGGACACAUUUCGUAAGCUAUUAAGUUUAUGGUUGAAUCAUCAACGGUGAUCGGCGGUAACCGUAAUUUUCCGAAGAAGAAGAUAUGGUUGAAACUGAUGUCGGUUAAACAACUUGUUUCGCUUGCUUUUAACAUUAUCCCGGCCUUUUUAAGCUCUUUUACGGUACCAAUGGUGCAUGAACGAUACCGUUUUCCUCUUGCUUCGUUGAUAAAUCUGCGUUCAAUGAAACGCCACCACCAUGGUUUUUCUUCUUCGGCAAGGAGUCUUUGUCGUAGUAGAUGCAAUAAGUGAAUUCGCUCUCCUUCUUUUUGCUGCUCCCACCACCAUUCCCUACACCAAAAUUUGUGUUAGUCGGAAGCCAAGCUAUAAUUUCUCUUUUCUUUUUUUUUCUUUUUGUUGUUGGAUUUGGAAUUGUUAAUUUAUAUGAAGCUAAAAUUAAGAUUUUCAAAAUAGAUAACCCAACGAUUAAGUUAUUCAAUUUAUUUAAUUUAAUUGAAUAAAUUAUUAAAAACUUCGAUUCGGUAACACGGUUUAAUUAAAUUUUUUUACCCUGUUCAUAUAAAUUUUUAAAUCGGUUGGUCUAAUGACUUUCUCCGAAUUGAUAAUUCAAUUAAUUUUCAAUCCAAACCGAUUCAAACAAUAUUAACUAAACUACAAUUUUUAUUAUUGUAUUAAUGCAAAAAUCUUACCAUUUUUAAAAUAUUAAACUUUUCCAUUCUGAAAAGUUGGAUUUUUGAAAUCAUAAUUUUUUAUUUCUAAAAAAUGUACACUCAACAGGAUAAAUGUAAAACGACAGGCAGGGAUCGUUCCCAAUAAAUGAAAAAUUACACUUUACUCUCUUUUAAAUUUAUUAAAUUAUAAUAAGUCCUCAAAUUAAAAAAUAAUAAUUGUUCAAUUUUUUUUAAAAAAAAGAUAAAAUCAUAAAUUAAUACAAAAAAAAUUAAAAAUCAAUCCAUACUUGUUAAUCAAGUUGGUUGAAUAAAAAAUCAAAUAAAAUUGAAGUUAUACCAAUUGAAUUAAAGAAUGGAAUAAAUUUCUUUUUAUAUUUUUAAUAAUUUUAAAAAUUUAUAUAAUUAAACUGAAUUAUCUAAUCAAAUGGAAAAGAGAGUCUAAUAGAUUCCAUCACCCAUGUAGUUAUAAAAACCUUUUAAAAAUGAUUAUUUAUUUAAUUCCCUAAAUUACCUGUCCUCGCCUGGGUUGAUAACAGUAUCGUCGAUGAACCUUUGGAUUGCAUUCAUAAACUUUUCGCCAUUUUUUCUCGGCCUUGUAAGCAGUUCAAGAACACGAAAAGGUAAUUGGUUUUCCAACAAUAACAGAUCCGAGUACACAAAUGUCAGCAAAUCGUCUUUAAUAAACAAUUUACCAUCAUCAUCAUCACCGUAACGCCUGUAAACUGCUUGUAAAAUUGCGCAGCCGUCAACGAAGAACAUCCAAGCCAGUUCCCUGUUAUCGUAGCCAGUCUUCUCUAAUUCCUGUGGAUCAUAGCAUUUCCUCAAGCCAUCGAUCUCUUUCUUCAUGUUUCUGUACAAGGAAUCCUUAUCGACUCCAAUGUUUUUGACGAAAUGUGCCGCUAAUUUGAGCUUGAUCUCUUCGGAUUGAUAGAGGGAGGGAUCACCGUAGUGGAAUGGGCCGAUUGAGAUCACUUUCGGCGUGAAAUACUUCUUGAAAUCUUCGUUACGGCGAAGGGCUGAUGGGACUUUUCGUAUUAAUGGUUUUGCAGUGAAGUUGGGUUGGCCGGCGUAGAAAGCUCCGUCUAAUGACCGGAGAUUCGCUACUUCGCCAUCGCUGAGAGGGACGUCCGUGAACCGCAUAUCAAUUCUCACGUAAUCGUUGUUGGUGUUGUUGUCGAUGAUUGUUUGAUCAGUGGAAACUGCUCCGACGGCGCCACCUCCUUCCUCCGUGGAGGACAUUUUCAGGCUGAGCGGUUGGGAGUAAUAAAGAAGGUGAUUUUGUAAACUGCUUUUGGGUGAGUGAGUGAUGUUGGAGAAAAGGUGGCGAAGUGGAUAAGAUGCUGACAAAUAUUUUAUAGCUUACAUGAUAAACAUAUAUGGGAAAUACUUAAGGCGUUAGUGUUUAUAUUUUUACUAAUAUAAUUUUAAUUUUUAAUUAAAUUUAUUUCUCUUUUGAAAGAGUCAAUGAUAAAAAAGAAAAGUUAAAUAGUGACAAAUAUUAAAAUUGAGAAUAAUAUUACAGAACUUAAAUAAACCUUGGCCUUAACCAAGAAACUAAGACCCUGUCAGAGGGAGAAUUUUAUAUCAUUUAAAUUAUUCCAAAUAUUUAACAUUGUAAACAUGCUUCUUUACAUAUAGUAAUUGCAUUUGUUACUCUACCUAACUCAUGAAAAAUCUCAAAUUUGCAACAUCACAUGCCAACCAACCAAUUUGUUAUUCACAUUCCAACUUUCUAAAUGCAUACAAAUAUUUCAUGUUCAUCUACUAACAAAGAUCAUGCCAAGAACCCACAUGCAAAGUCAUUAUUUACCACAUUUUAACUCAACAAGACUUUUCCACAACCAAAGCCUACAAACCUUUAUAUGCAUGUCACAAUCCUUCACUGAAAAUGAUAUUUUCAUCAAUACCAGUUCAUUUUCAGUUCAAGAUUUAAUUCCUUUUCCAACCAUUCCAUCAUCCUCGAAAGCUUCAUCUAAUGACCGGAGAUUCCGUAGUUCCUUAUUGCUGCGAGUGAAGUCCGUAUCCAGUAUUGGAAUGAUCGUCUCUAGGGGAUUGUUGUUGUUGUUGGUGGUGGUGGUGGUGGUGGUGAUGAUUGUCUGAUCAGUGGAAACUGCUCUGCCGGAAGCUCUGACGGCGCCGCCUCCUUCUUCAGUGGACGACAUUUUCAGGCUGAGCGAUUUGAAGUAAUUAACAAGCUGAUUUUGUGAACUUUUUUUGGCUGAGUGAUGUUGGAAAAAGGUACGAUGACGAAAAAUGUUUCUAUAGCUUAUAUAAUAAACACAUGGAAAAUAUUUUUGUUGUAAUAUCAAUUUCAGCCCUUAAUAUUUAUAUUCUUGUCAAUUCCUUUUCUUUUUAGUUGAAUUUAACUCUCUAUCUUUUGAAAGUGUCAAAUUUUACUACGAAUCUUUUAGAAAAGAGUCGAAUUAAUAUUUUUUAACAAAAAUAGUGAGUAAAAUAUUAAAUUUUAAACAUGACAACUUAUAUGAAAGUCUAUGUGUACUUGUUUUUUUAUUUUAAAAUUAUUUGUUGAUGUGGUAUAUAAGAACAGUCGUGUUAUGUUAGCAUGAAGUGCACAUGGAUUGUCACACGAGUUGUAACACAAGUAUCGUUAAAAAUUUAAUGUUUUAGUCAAUAUUUCUGUUAAAGAAAAGCAAUUUGACUCUUUUUUGAAAGGUUAAUGGCUAAAUUUAACUCAAAAUAAUAAUAAUAAUAAUAGUAAAGAAUAAAGACUAAUUUGACAAAAAUGCAAGUGUCGAGGGCUAAUUUAAUCAUUAUAUCUUUUUUUAAAAGUUCCAUUUAUAUAAAUAUCUGGGAGGUCCUUAUAUUAUGAGGAUUGGAUCAAAUUAAUCCCUCUAUUAUUAAAUAGAUCAAUUUAGUUCCUAUACUCUUAAAAGAGAAUCAAAUAAGUCCAAAGUGCAAUAAAGUUAACAUUUACUAUAUAAAAAAUGUCUUGAUUUUUUUUUCAAUUGUAAUUCAAUUCCAAAUAAAAUGUUUCAUUUUCAAAACCAUAAAAACUUUAAAAAUAUUAACUUUGUUAAACGAUAAAUGUUAUAUUUACUUCAAUUUAGUCUUAUUUAAUUUUUUUAAUAGUAUAAAGACUAAAUUGAUCCAUUUAAUAGUAAAAGGACUACUAAUAUAAUGACUUCUCAAAUACAAUCCACUUAAAAUAACUUUUUUUGGAAACACAGACAGAAUAAACUAGACUUACGGGAUGGUGCAUCUAAUUCAACCUUCUAACAUGUCUUGAAGUAUAAUAUAUAUUUUUAUAAUACUAAUGAUAAUUGGAUUUGUUGAAUGAUGAAUGAUAGAAUUAUGAAUUUUAUUUGUGAAGUUUUUUAUGAAUAUAUACAAUUGAUUAAUAUUUUUAUAUUUAAAGUUUAUUUAAUUAUUUUUAUAUAUUAAAUAUUUUAAAAUUUUAUCAAUAAUUUUGGAAAGAUAUACAAAAACAGUGUAGUACUAAUAUGUAUUAGUUUUUGUAGAAAAAUGGUGCGCCAUUAAUGUAGUACUAAUUAACUACCUUGGAUAAAAAAUCAUUUUGCCCCUUGAAUUUGGCAAUUUCCCUCAACUUAGUUCUUAAACUUUUAUAUUAUCUACAUUAGUAUUAUAACUUGACAACUUUUCUCAAUUUUGAUGCAUGUGAUGACACAACACUCUGAUAUUGUGUCAUCCCAUCAUUUAAAAAUAAUAUUUUUAAUAAAAAUUAGGUGUUACAUGGUAGAAACGUCACCAUAAUGACCAAAAAUGAGAAAUGUUGUCAAAAUUCAUGACCGAUGUGGAUAGUGGGGAAGCCAGGGGGUUGAAAAGGGCCCUGCCCCCCCCCCAGAAAAAGGAAAAAAAUUAUUUAGGUCUCUUUAUAAUUUAUAAAAUUUUAAAUUAGUAAAGGUAAAAUUGUAUUUUGCCCCUCAAAAAUGAUAAAAAAAUUGAUUUAAUCCUUUAAAAAUGAUAAAGAUAUAUACCAUUAAAAUGGUGAAAUUACAUUAUUAUUAUCGUAAAAAUAUACAACUUAAUUUUGGAGAUUCUUCAAUUCACCAUUGCUGAGAUGAAGUCUAUACCCGGCAUUGGAAUAAUCGUCUUUAGGGGAUUGGUGCUGGUGGUGAUUGUUUGAUCAGUGGAAAUUGCUCCGCCGGGAGAUCCAACGGCGCCGCCUCCUUCCUCCGUGGACGACAUUUUCAGGCUGAGCAACAAGGUGAUGUUGGAAAAAAAGGUGGCAAAAUGGCUAUGAUCGAUGACGACAAAUGUUUCUAUAGCUUAUAAUAUGGAAAAUACUUUUGGUGCAAUAUCAAUUUAUCCUUUAAUUUUUAUAUUUUUUUUCAAUUUGAUUCUAUUAUCUCUAGUUAAAUUCAAUUCUCUACGAGUCAAAUUUGAUUACCAAUCUUUUAGAAAAGAGUCAAAUUAAUAUUUUUUAACAAAAAUAGUGACUAAAAUGUUAAAUUUCUAAAAACGACAACUCACAUGACAAUCUACAUGUACAAAUGUUAGAAUGCAUUUUAUCUUAUUUACUCAAAAAAUAAGCAAGUUAGUUUCUAUACAUCAGAUCAAAGAGCAAAUUGAUCAUUUUAUUAAAUUUUUAAUCUUUUUCUAUUAUUAAAAAUUGAUUCAUAUACAUAAGUUUGAGGUACAAUGGCACGUCACAUGUUAUGAUUUGGUUAUUCCGUUAGUCACACCAGUUUUUAACAUUACAAAUAGAUGAAAAUUUUAACAGAAAUAGCUAAGUUACUUUUUGAUCUAACAUAUAGGACUACUUUACUCAUUUUUCAAUAUAGGAAGCAAAAUGUAAUCCAACUCAAUGUACAAGGACUUCCAUGUUAUUUUUUUUUCCAAUUUCACAUUAUUUUAUCAUAUUUUAUAUAUAGAUAUAGAUAUAGAUAUUUUAAGCAUACGCCUAUCAUGGAAAUGGUAUAAUGUCCAGAUUAUCUGGUCUUUGAUUUCAUUUGUCAAUUAAUGAUUGUGGAUUGACAACAUUGACCAUUAUUCUAUGCACGGGGACUACUCAUCUACUCCUUUUCUGCCAUUCUCACUACCCAUUGCAUUCAUUUUCUAUGCCCUACUGCUCCUCUGCCGUGCACUCUCCAAUUGUAUUUAAAGACAAUAUAUACAUAUAGAUUGUAAAUUUUCUUGGCUGGAAGCUCACUGCAUGGAAGCCAAAAUCAAAACAAACUUUUGAUGGUUUAAUUGUUUUUGAGCCCUUCAAUUUCAGGUGCUAUGAGAAGUGAAUUACAACCUCAUCUUGUCAUUAUCCCAAAAUCAAAACAAGCAACUCUUGGUUGAAAGUUGAAACCAAGGGCCAAGUCAAAAUUGUUUUAGGAUGAGUCCAAAAUGAAUAAUGAAUUUGAAGGUUCAAAAUAAAAUUUUAUUAUUAUAUUAAUUUAUAAUUUCAUAAAUUUUAAAAGGAUUAAAUGAUAAAUUUACUAAUUUAAGAAGACAAUAGGGAUGGUCAAAUAUUCUAAUUGAACCUAUCUGCGAUCGGAUCGGGAUGGAUUUUUUUAAUUUAAAAAAUUAAAUAGAUUUAAUCGAAAUUCUAGGAGUUACAAAAUUCUCAUAAAUAACAAGAGUUUAUAAAAAGUACACUUACUUUGGUUGAUGUAUGGUAUAAUAAGCCUGCAAAGCACCGAUAAAAAGUGCACCAAUGGCACCCACAAAUGCGAAAAACGUCCAACGAGUCCUAAAAAAAGGACGGUAAACUUGAGCUGGAUAUCUAAUCCACAUAUUUUUAUGAUGAUCAUGUAUUUGCAGUUUAACAUGUCUGUAAAUCAUCAGACUGGGAACCAAAACCAUGUUCAUCUUCUUGAUAAGCUUAGCCACUUCUUUAUCACUCCCCAAUCUAUUGUAUAGUAUGCCGGAGUGUCUCAGUUCCUUAACAUCUUCGGCUUCAUCGAUCAAUGAAUCAAGGAAACCCAUAUAUGAAGUGACGGUGAAAUUGUUGUUGUAGAAAUCCGGACACAUUUCGUAAGCUAUUAAAUUCAUGGUUGAAUCAUCGAUGGUGAUCGGCGGUAACCGUAAUUUUCCGACGAAGAAGUAACUGUUGAAACUGAUGUCGGCUAAACAACUUGUUUCGCUUGCUUCUAACCGUAUCCCGGUGUUUUUAAGCCCAUUUACGUUACGAAAAAGGUGUGAAUGGUGCGGUUUUGUUCUUGUGUGGUCGCUGCGAUUUGUGAAGGAUAUGCAAAACCUAGAAUCAGCUGGUUUUUCUUUAUUGAAAAGGAGUCUUACUCGUAGUAGAUGCAAUAAGUGAAUUCGCUCUCCUUGCUGCGGCCACCAUUCA
rnacentral:lncRNA from 1 species